UGCGUGAAUCCUAAACUGGUCAGCAAAGCAAACUAUACAAGUACGCGAAGCUGCUCGGAGCGUGUGACUAACCUUCUUGCAGCCGGUACUGGUCGGCUAAACGACGAGCGAGGUCGAGACGACGCUCCUUUUCGGCACUCAUCUCGACCACCUUCUCCCCGACCUCCGCCCGCAACCGGUCUACCUCCGCGGCAAGGGCCUUGUUCUCGGCCAUGACGCCUUCUAUCUGGUCAAAGCACCGUUUCCGGUACUUCGCCGUUUUCAUUGCGUCCUACAAAGCAAGCAUAUAACGACCAUGCAAGACAAGGCAAAAGAAUGUGCAGCAGUGCAAAAAGCCGCUUACCUUGACUUCGUCGACGAGGCGCUUGGCCGCGCGCUCCACCCUGGCGGCCUCUUCGGUCUCGGCGAGCUCCUCAUGCCCGAUAAAGUGAUCCCCGCGUUGGCGCCACACAUACACGUGUUGGCGGCCAUCACGGGGACGACCCUCGAUCUCUUCCACCUCAUCAUCGGAGGCCGCCCGGGUUUCCUCCUCCUGUGCUGCGUCACCCCCGGUGGUGGUCCCAGGUAUUACUGGCCCUUGGACCAGACCUGGGGACCCCGCAGCAGAGGAGGCUCCUGCUCGGGGCGGCGUGGGGACUUCACUCCCCCCGGCAGGAGGAGCGGUCGGAGAUCUUCCCUUCUCUGAGGAGUCAGUUGGGGGAGCCUCUCCAGCCCUGGUCGGGCUACUUGUCGUAGUCGGUGCCGCUCUCGGGAGCCCCUCGGUGCUCCCAGGCGCGACUGCAGCUGUUGGCUGCUCUGUGGUCUGGGGGGCCGCAUCCCCAGAACCGCGGGCAGGCUCGCCCGUCCCUUGGCUGGCAACCUGGCCGGGGUCGACAUCCGACGCCGCACUACAGGAACAAAAGUCAAAUUUCAAAAAAAAAAAAUCAAAGAGGAGUCCAAAAAUACGUAAGUCGAACACUUACAGGUCUGAUCGACGGUGGGUGGCGGUGAACCUCCUCCUCGCCCGGCCGGUCGGCACCUGCGCCCCCGUCUCGACAACUUGCGGUGCAGGGGCGUCGCUGGCCACUCGAUUAGUAGCGGCCGGCGCAUUAUCUGGGCGACCCCGGGGCCGUCGGACCAACGACGGCGCAGCCUCCUCGUCGUCGUCGUCGUCGUCAACGAUCCGCACGAGCCGACGACGCUUCGGUGCUUGGCUGCUCUCCGCCGGAAGAUCCGCCGGCAAAGGAUCUGCCGGCAAUGGCCUCUUCCCCGCUACCCUCCCCUCGGAGGUCGGGAUGGGGCGGGCUUGGUCCUCUUCACUGCUGGUGUAAUGAGUACACCGAGCAGCGUCCUCCUCUGGCGGGUCUUCUCCCGCAGGAUUUUCCAUCCCCGGUGCCAGUGAUACAUACACUGUGCACCGGUCGACACCGCCGAUCUGCAAAAGCAACAGAGAUGAGUCAACUGCCGACGAUAUACGAAUGCUAAAACAGAAUCUGCUACAUACCUUUGGUGCUGGUCGUCCUAACUUGAAGGCUUGCACCCGAUCACUGCCACGGAUGAAGCCUCCGUCCGCGAAGUUAAACAGCUCGUUCAACAGCUGUUGUACCUCCGCUUUCUCCAAGAUCUCCGACCGCAUCCUGGUCGGGUCUGCGCUUCCGGCAUACUCGUACGCCGAGUGCACCCUCUUCUGGCAGGGCAUCACCCGGCGGCAAAUGAAGUUGCCGACCACGCCAAGCCCGUCCAGGCGCGACCAGUCGAUCAGCUUCAUGAGAUCCGCCACUGGACCGUCGAACUCCGGGCGGUCGGUCCAGCUCGUCCUCUUCUCAGGAAUGUAUCCCACGUCGCAGAACAUGGAGCUGCCCGGUUCCUCCCUGAUGUAGAACCACUUCCUGUACCAUUCGGUCAAGGAAGUGUUCCAUGGACAGUGCAGGUAGCGAUUCUUCAUUCCAUCACGAAGGUUGAGGUAUACUCCACCUGCAACCUUGGAGCCUCCAACUGCUCCCUUCUUCCUCAAGCAGAAAAGAUACCGGAAAAGAUCGAAGUGCGGCUCUAUGCCAACAUAGGCCUCGCACAGGUGGAUAAAGGUGGAAAUGAGGAGAAUUGAGUUCGGGUGCAGAUUGCAAAUCCCGAUCUCGUAAUACAAAAGAAGACCUUGAGGAAAAGGAUGAACAGGAACACCAAAACCCCUCUUAAUGAAAUCUUCAAAUACGACGAUCUCACCGGCACGAGGGUCGGGGUAGCUCUCCCCUUCCGGUGCCCUCCAGCCGCCGAGCUCCGGGCCGUGCAGAAGCCCCAUAUCGACGAGGUCACCAAGAGAUUUUGUGGUGCUGCGAGACUUCUUCCACUCCUUGGCCAUCAGUUCGGCCCUCUUCCUGGAGUCGCUCUUCGCCAUUAGAGGUGCGAAUGUGGGCUUGAGUUAGGAAGAUGCAGGAGAUUGGAGAAGAUGAGAGCGGAAGGUUUGAAGGCAAUGGCAGGGUAAGCGGUACAGGCGGACCUAUUAGGCUCUUAUCAGCCCGCAACUCCACCUCUCCCACUUCCUGUAUUCUCGGGAAGUGGGCAGGCCAUGCGGCGGACGCGGCGUUUCGGUUUACAAUGAUUAUAGACAAUUAAUGCGGCGGAUUUUUCGUACCAAUUGAUGGUUUCCUUUACUCAAACCAUGCAAAGGCGGUUGCACAAGUUGCCAGGCGCAACUUUUCAUGCAUCCGUCUGACACCCCGUCAGGAGGCCUCGUCACGUCAAUUUUAACUGGGAAGAUCUUUUCAAAAAAACAAGACGAUACAUACGCCAGAAAGUCAACAAUCCGGGGACUGCACCGACCAUCGGGCAUUCGACGCUCGGGGACUGGUCGCCCAGUCUAUCAGCUCGGAAUUUCAAUGACUGCGCCGACCACCGAGCACUCGACGCUCGGGGACUAGUCGUCCAGUCUAUCAACUCGGAACUUCAAGGACUGCGCCGACCACCGAGCACUCGACGCUCGGGGACUAGUCGUCCAGUCUAUCAGCUGGAAGCUUUAAAGGACUGCACCGACCACCGAGCACUCGACGCCCGGGGACUGGUCGCCCAGUCUAUCAGCUAGACGCUUUAAAAAACUGCACCGACCACCGAGCACUCGAUGCUCGGGGACUGGUCGUACAGUACAGCGACACAGGAUUCUAAAAAACACUUGGUGCUUGGUGACUGGUCGAUUAAUCUAUUCAAUUGCAGUCAGACUGGUAAAUUCCACUUUUUAGACCUCGCUACAAGGCUCAUACUUCGCCUUCCAGCAAGCUCGGGGACUACAUCGGUACGAUGCAUCUGGCGAUGCAUCUCAGUUACAGAAUUUCUUUGAGGACUUUUAUUUUGACCCUGGCACCACGUGCCUACGUCACCUACUACCAGGCUCGGGGACUAAGUGGGCACACUUCACCUUGCGGUGAAUAUGCUUGCUUUUUUGAGGUCUAUACCUUUCAAAAAAGUAAAGUGGGCACACUUCACCAGGAAAGAAAUCUUUUUUGAUUUAGAGCACCAUGCAUUCUUCGAACAACCUGCUUCUUUGAACCUGCUUCUUCAAUGUCAAUGUUGAUCAACUGUCUUUUGAGUUGGUCAAAAUACCGUUGCAACUGUUCGGGCAACUUUCCUGAAGACGUCAAGCCUCACUGAUCGAAGAAGCUCAAGACGGCGUGUUACACCAUAAUACAUGGUGCUCGGGGACUAGCUGUGGGGGUAUAAACCCCUAUACCCUUACGGCUGGACUUGGGCCAGGAGGCUUGGCCCAUUACGAGGCGAGUCCAAAGCUUGAUCCGACAACCUGGAGUCCCGCGCAAGGAAACAAGAUGUGGAGAUCAAGCAGGAUUCUGGUCGGUUAGAAUAGGAAUUGAUAUCGAAUUAUCCAUGGCAAUUGUAACCGACUAGGAUUAGUUUCCAGAUCUGUAACCCUGCCCUCCAGACUAUAUAAGGAGGGGCAAGGGACCCCCCUAGGACACAUGAUAUUCUCUCAACACAAAUCAAUACGACCAGACGCAGGACGUAGGUAUUACGCCAACUCGGCGGCCGAACCUGGAUAAAAAGCUUGUCCGUGUCUUGCGUCACCAUCGAGUUCGUAGUUUGCGCACCGUCUACCGAUAAACUACUACCGUGGGUAUACCCCAAGGUAGACUGCCGACUAGCUUUCGUCGACAUCCUCCAAUGCAAUAGAGAAUAUGUAGUUUAUUUUUUUUUCAAAAAGCGCCGAACCCUUCUUCGCAAUAGAGAGAGAAAACCAAACCCCUCUCCACCUAUUCAACCCUUGCUCAAAUAUUCUAACCACCAAGUGUAUCACCUCGUGCAUGUGUGUUUGCAUAUUUUCACAAACAUUUCCAAGGGUUAAGUUAGCACACUAGGUUCUAAAUGUGUCGGUGUUUUUUCCCCGGGGGGGGGGUUCACACCAACGAGUAAAUUUAUAUGCGUGCUCCCCUUUCCGGAUGGUGAUGCAAGAAGACACAGAGAUUUAUCCUGGUUCGGGCAAGAGAAGGCCCUACGUCCAGCGGGGGGAGAGAGUUUGUAUUAUCUCGCACCUAAGUGCUUGUACAGGGGCGAAUACAAGCGUGGAAUGAAAUGUGUCGCUCUACCACGUGUGUGUGUGUGUGUGUGCUUGUGUUGUGAUGAUCCCCUCUUCUAUUCCUGAGUCCCUCCUUUUAUAGCUCCAAGGAGAGACACAGGGUACAUGCAUAGAUGUUAGAGUAGGGAUCGAUAGCCGCAUGGAGCGCUGACCUACUCGAGGCUUCCGUACGGCAUGGCCUCGAGCCGUCCCAUCUUGAUAGCUUGGUGAUGAUUACGCGUGCUCCCUCGUGCUGCCCUGCCAGCCGCCUUGUGCUAGUUCUGAGGUCGCACGCUCGUAGGGUAUGGUGGCGGAUCCGGCGGAGUAGCUGUGGCGUUGUCAGUCGACGCCCGACUUGUCCCUGGGAAGGGACCUUGUUUGGUCGAGGGUCGGGCGCCGCGUAUUACGCCGAUAUCUGGAGCGCUGACCUUGGGUGUCUCGAGGGGGUCCCGAUUAGACGUUCCAUCCUUGUUUCCUGUGUCCUGACUCGCCCUGGGUCGUUCGGUGGGAAGGCUGCAAAAGGAACGAUGGGACAGAAGCUUGCUCCCUAUCACGCCCUCCGUGGCCUGUGUGUUAGGUGGGGAAGCGUCAGGUGCAUUUAAUGCUUCGGCUCGCGUGCGCGCGUCGGGCGGCGGACAGUGUCCUCACGCCUGGCACCUCUCAGUUCGCUCGAGCUCGCUUCCGUCAUCGAGGGCAGUCGUCGUUCGAGUCCUGAACCGAUUCGCUCGAGACUAUUUCCGUCUUCGAGGCUGCGACUGUCGAUGGCGGCACGUGCGUAAGAUGAGAGCGUCGAAUUAAGGGUCUCGACCUUCGUACGGGCAAUCUCAUAAUGCGCCUUACUGAGGGUACCCCUAACCGAUACCCUCGACAAAAUGCAUGCACAUAAACAAUGUCACCUAGUGGCACUCGAUAGACCGCUUAGCCAAAGAAUUCCUCUUUUUAUAGUACGACUAUUUAUCCUAACUAUGAUAACACUCUCUAUGGUAUCUUGAUCACCAAAACUAAAAUCCUAAGCAAUUCCUAUGCCUUGAUAUCCAUAAAGUUUUGCUUUUUCUCUUUCUUGUUUCCAAGUUGUGCACUUGAUCAUCUUGUGGCCAUCACCACCAUCACCAUAAUCAUCUCUUGCUCCAUCACUUGACAUGUACCAACCUCAUCUAAUCUAUACACACUUAGCGUAGCGGUUAGUACUUUGGAUUUCAUCAAUUAUCCAAAACCAAACUAGGGCUUUCAAGCGUAUGGGAAGGAAGAUGAGGAUAGGGAUUCGACAGAAUGGUUGGGCGGGUUAGCUAGGGUUUAGGGAAUUUUGUUAUGUCCUGUGUGCGACCCACAAGGGUGGCCUUUUGGUGUGCGUUGCCAAUUUUUCGCGUGAAGAGCAUGGAUGGGGAGGAAAGAAAUUAGCUCCUGACGGCAAGGUGAAAUCUCAUGUUUGGUUUUGAUAAUUGAUGAUAUCCAAUGUUGCUAAUGCUUUGCUCUAAGUGUGACUAGACACAUAGCAACAUGAUGAUGAUGCCUACGGCUCGGUGAUGGACUUAGACAUGGUGAUGAUCAAGCAUCGAGGCUCAAGGCCAAGGUAUAAAGAGAUAGGUGUUUUCCCUUUUGGUGAUCGAGACACUAUAGAGAGUGUGAUCAUGUUUAGGAUCGAUAACCGACUAUCAAGAUGGGAAUUCAUUGUUGAAUUUGCGGUCCAAGUGCCUCUAUUUUGACUUUGCAUGAUGCAUAUGAGAGACUAACUAGAAAGCUAACCCUUGCCCUUGUUCAUCAUGUUGUAAUGCUAACUCAUGUGGUUAAGAGUGUUCUACAUGUUGGAGUUGGCACCUAAGGCAAGUGGUUCGAGUUGGAUCGACGACGGCGUGAGGAAACGACGAAGUUAGCCUUUGUUUCGCUAGACAGACGCUGGUCGGGUGUCCGAUGGUCGCCAGACGCGACACAGAGAAGGCCACAAAUUGGAAGCAUCACGAGACGCUGGCCACGAGGGCCAGAACGGUCUGGCGCAUGCAAGAGAGCUGCGGACUGCGGUUUCACCAGACGCGCGCGCGACGGACGCACAGUUGGUACUGUGCAACAUCCGGCGCAUGCAAGUGUUGUCAGUUGUGGACUCGAGCUAGAUGAGAAGGAUGGACGCUGGAUCGUGCGUCCAGCGGUCACUAGACGCUACUCAGAGAGGAUUGGUCGUGGGCCGAGCCGCCGGACACGGCACAGGAGGCGACGGACGCUGACGUGUCAUAGGAUUCAAAUGUAACGAUCGUCUACUAGGGAGUCCGACGCAUGCAUCAAACGCGUCCGGUGUGUGUUCCGAAACAUGUUUUGAAUGAAGAAUCCAAUGGCUAGUUUGCGAAAACGGCGCCGGACGCGUCCGUCUCUUGUAACUCGGCCGCCCGAAGUGCAUAAUGGUUGGGAAGUAGGGGCUAUAAAUAGAUGGUUGGUCGGUUGGGGAGCUACCUCUUGCCCAUUCUAACUUCUUUGAGCAUCCUUUGAGCUAGAGAGACUCCUCCCCACUCAUCUUUUGACUUGAUUGAGCAUUGUUGACUGAGAUUGAGUGAGAAUCAAGUGCUAGCAUUGAAAGUUGCAUCUAGAGGCACUUGUUUUUCGAUUUCGCUACGAAGUUCUUGUCACUCUUGGGUGAUUCCUGUCACCCUAGACGGUUUGGAGCAGUGGGUGGUGUUGAGCUCGAGUGAAGAUUGUUCGAGGCCACACCGGUGAUCUUGUGAGAGGUUCUUGAUCCUUCUCCGCGGGAGAUUCGCGAAAGGAUACUCUAGGGAUUGUGCGUGGCUUGGAGGAUCCUUGUUUUGUGUUGAGAGUGCUGCUCCCGGCUGCGGUAUUUGGCAUUGAGAGCCAAUUGAGCGAGCAUCUCUCCAAGCAAGUGUAUCACCACAAUGAGAACUAGCUUGCCGGGAAACAAGUGAACCUCGGUAAAAAAAAUCAUUGUGUCAAUAUUGUGAUUGCCGAGGAUUCUCUUGUGUGGUUAUCUUGAUUGGGUGAUUGGCCGUCUAUGCUUCACGUCGGUAUAACAAUCCAACCCCCUCUCUUGUAUCUAGCUUUACUUUUUUGUUAUUACAUUACUUGUCUUGCUAGAUAUUGAGUAGAACUUGCUAGCUUGUGUAGCUCUUACUUGUUCUUUUUAUUGCCCGUGCUAGUUUAGUGAAGUGCCUAGGGUUUUCUUGUUUAGAAUUGCUAGGCUAGUUGUUGAUAGGGUGUUAGUUGUUUAGCCUAUUUGCUAGACUUGUUAGAAAGGCUUGCAUGGAAGUAAUUGAAGCUCUAGCAUUGCAAUUACACUAUCUCUUAGUCUAACAAGUGGUCUUGUGUUUUUCCAAGAUAUUUUAUUAGGCUAUUCACCCCCUCUAGCCUUUUGGACCUUACACAAGGGAACCGAUAGGAAAUAUCUCUCCUGACAGUUUCUAGAGACUGGCACGUUUCUUUGGUUUAUUCCUGAUGGUUUCCUUAUUUACUGUCGGCCCGAAGCAACUGACAGGAAUGUUUCAAGUCUUUGCUAUCGGUUUUGUUGCACCGACAUGAGUCUUUACAUAUUAUUGUCGGUUUAUUAAAAACCGUAAGUAAAGUUAAGAACCGUCAUGAAUUAUCCUGAGUUUGGUAGUGUAUUUCUAAUUGGUUAGCAUGUCGUGCACUAUCAGGAGUCCGUGCCAUCUAGGUCAUCUAUCCUUCCCUGUCCUCCUAGACCACCCUAAAAACAUUUUGUCUCCUGGUAAGCCUCGUCUCUAGUAUUGUAGGAUGUAGCUAAUUCACUACGGUAUAAUUUUUAAAUCAAACCCUACGUGCAGUGACCUGACUAGCUAUACCACACAAUACUACAGAAGUGUUGAUUUUGAUCACUCUUAUGCCAAUGUCCUCGUUCCUAUCUCCAUAUAAGGAGAAUGGCAUUCCAAAACCAUCCUUGAAGCCCUAGUGACACUGAGCCUGUGGAGGACGAAUGGUGUCAAGCACUUGACAAUUCGUGUAAGGAGGAGAUGAUGGGAAGUAAGACACCUCCUCUAUUGCAAAUUUUAAGUUAUUUAGAUUUUUCUAGAUAUAUAAUUUUUACUUUAUGUUUAGACAUAAUAUAUAUUAGGUCCGUAGCAAAAACUAUAUAUCUAGAAAAGGUAAAAACAACUUACAAUUUAAAAUGGAGUGAGUACAUCAAAGCCCAAAACAAUGUUGUUCGACCUACACUUUCAUUCAGAAAAAAAAACGUACGCCAGCAUAGUCCAUAUAACGUAUGGGUCCGACAUGUGUCAACUGUGCACACAACACGUGCGCAUCUUCUCAUCAAGGCUAGCUACCACAUCAGUGACACGUCGAAAACUGCCACACCCACUGAGAGCAAAGUUGAUUUCCAUUUCUCCCUUUCCUUUCCGGUUGCUGAACUUUCUUUUCUUUGCACAUGCCCCCACAAAAAAAAGUAUUUUGCAUAUAUAUAUAUAUAUAUGUGUAAUAUGCACCCACACAAAAAGAAAAUAUAUGCAUGCCCAUGUGUCAAUAACCUAAGACGUCUACGUGCAGGACGCUUAGUAUCUUGACGUACUACGUCGUCGCUAGCUACCGGCGAAACUUUUUCAAAGCGUGUUGAAGGCCAUGACGAAACUAUAGCUAGACCCGAGCGCGCCAACAACGACAAGCGCCGAGCUUACGUCGGCUUUCUCGGACGUUUUCCCGGCCAGCAGUAGCAGUAGUGUCACACGGCUGCACUGCACUGCAUGCCUCGCGAACGUUUGGCCUCGAUCGAUGGCUUUCUUUGGACAUUUUCGAAGAGGCUUUCUCCAUGUUCGACUGGAAACUGUUGCCUAUAGCCUGUACAUUGAUUGUUCCAGCUCUUACACGUACGUACGUCAUGGUUGUCUGCUGUUCAAAUUUGCCAGUCUUUCCAACUAAUUAAUUAAUAUAAUAUAUACAUGAGAGUGGGUAGUUGAUGAGUUGGGGUUCAAAUGAACCGAAGAGGAAAAAUAGUUUCCCGGCUGAAAAUUUAACAUCCUAAUAACUGGCCACUUAUAUUAGAUGGAAUGACCUACUUGAUCGAUAAAAUGGAAAUAAAGAGAAAAAAGGCCUACCAAAAUUAGUUCUUGGGAGGAUGGAUGAGCGUGUACAUGCAAUGUACUACUAUGUACUGCUGUGCAAUAAUACAAGUUACAACUGCGCGUGGUUGUCGUUGUCAUGCAUCAGGAAUGCAUGUCAAAUGCAUCAAACUAGCAUAUAUAAUACGAGUUACAACUCUCAGGUAAUUUAAAUGUAUAAUAAGAUAGAAUAAGGACACUAAGUUUACUUGAUGUAAUGUGCUGAGAUCGAUCCUACAUCUCGUCUUGCAUUUCUAUUGCUUGUGUAUCCUUUUGCAUUGUUAGAUGAUAUCUAAUACACGCGGUUCCCGUAUAUCUUUUGGUAGUACCUAGCCCAAGCAAACAGCUAACAGGCCGGGCAUCCUAUGUGCACAAGAGGAUAGAUAGAGCUUGAGUGUCAACUAGUGAUAGCGUCAUAUAUAUUAUUAAUUCCUUCACGCAGAUGUUGUUUUGACAAAAAGAGUAGUGUAAAAAAAUAAUUAGCUGGAUCAUCAAGAAAUAAUUAAUAGUGUGGGUACUGCUAACAAUUAAUAUUACAAAACGAAAAUUUUCCACUUUAUUUGUGCCACUUGUGCAACUAGCAGGUAGGAAUUUUAUACAUAAUUAUUAGUAGGAUAUAUAAUUUCAAAUAGGAAAUUAGUGCAUAUAAGUUUUGUAUAUGAUUACACAGGAAAUUGCAUCGCUCACUACGCGUGAUUUGGUUGGAUAUACCAACAGUGUAGGUAUAUGCUAAUCAUAGCCACACAAGCAAGUGAACUUUAUACGUGUACUCGAAACGGACAACAAUAUCGUUAGAACGUAUUUUGUACUAUAUAGGGUAUAACUUGGUGUCUACGCAAUAUACUUCCUCAGUAUGUUUGCUACUCUCGCCAAAAUAGCUCUUGUUAGCACUACUCUCACAUGUAGAACACGAUAUAUGGUAACAUCUUAGAAGUAAUAAUGAUGUGAGUCAUCAUAGAUACAAAAUUUGUACACGUGCAAACAAAUACUAACAAAAAGGUCUGUUGGAUCUAACAGAAAUUAGGUAGUAUUUGUCCGAUGCAUUAGCAAGACUAUACGAAAACACAGUCACACGCAUGUCAAUGCAUGCUUGCAACCUACAAACAUCUAAGAAACCAUAACAACCUUGUGAAAAUGCACGCUUGCAAGCCAUAUAAACUUCUAAAAAGCCAAAACAACCCGGGGGAAAAGUUUUUGCGGGUGUGCCCCGUGUGUGAUGGCGAGAGGUAAGCCCCACGCACGCAGUCGGUGGACCCAAUCCUCAGACGCUUCACGACACCGCUUUGCCUGCGUGAGCAUGCCCCCCGCUCCCAUCCGCUGUACCCCCCUCUCUCUCUCUCUCUCAUACUCCGAGUUGUAUAUAAAAAUACUCCCCUCUCCUGUAUAUUUUCCCGGUGUGCACAGAUAGGCUUUGGAAGGGGGCGCAAGGAGAAAUUCCAGAAAUUGAUUUAUAGUGGGGCAUAUAAGAGUGUGGGAGAGGAAAGCAGCAGGAGAGAAGAGAAGAGAGAGAAGGAAAAGUAUGACAAGGAAAUGAGAGAAAUGGGAGAACAGCCUUCUUCUUAGCCCCUCCUCUCUCCACCACCACUGCUAUCUCUCCUCAGUAGCAGCAAUAGCAAGCAAGAGGAGAGGAGCAAAGCUAGCUGCAGUACCAGGGAGAGUGAGGUACAGAGAAGAAACAAACUCACUCGAAUUCUUUUUUCCUGUUAAAAAUAUAUUUAUAUAUCUGCCUCACUGUAUGUUUGUGUCAUCAUAUACGAGAGUAGUCUGCGGGGGUGUGGGUGUUUGCGAGCUUUUGUUGUUUUGCUUUUUUACUUGUUUUGAGUGCAACUGUUUGUUUGGAUUUCCCUGUCCACUUUGUUCUUUUGUUAAUCUCGGAAGAGUCCUAAGCGGCCGAUGCCUUGGAGUUUUUCUCGGCUGCCUGUCGAUUUGUUUCUUGUUUCAGAUCAAUUCCAAUCCAAGCACAUACAUAUGAGAAAGGUCUAGCCAUCAGGAAUUUUGGGGCCUCCUUCUCUCCUCUCCUUUCGGUAGUUUUUGUCUCCUUGGUUCUGUCGGGCUCCUCGCUCCUCGAUUUGUCUCCGGAUCGGAGGAACAGGCAGCGAAAUCUGUCUCGUCUCGCUCCCAUGGUCGUCGGCGUCGCUCGCAUGCUGUGUGUGUCUUUAAUUUCUUGGAGAUAUAUGCCGUUGUUGAUUGCCAUGUCAUCGGUCUCACUUGGAAAGUCUCUUGCUUUGUUUCAGCGAAGAAGGAGGGGGAAGGACGAAGAGCACUGCCGCCAAUCCUAUUCCUAGCAACGGGCCAAAGCGACCGGCAGGAAGGAGAAGCAGUGUCGUUGGCGUGCUGGAGCUGGUGGUGCCUGCAGGAUAAAUCGGGAGGCGGCGGCGGUAGUGAUGGCAUCGAAUUCAUCGGCGGCGGCGUUCUUUGGCGUUAGGGAUGGGGACCAGCAAGACCAGAUUAAGCCGCUGAUAUCACCGCAGCAGCAGCUGGCAGCGGCGCUGCCCGGCGUGGCAGGCGCUGUGCCUGCGGCGUCCGGCCAAGGCGCGCCGACCGCGGCGGCGCCGCAGCCACCGCCCAAGAAGAAGAGGACUAUGCCCGGUAAUUCACGCAACCCAAGUACCCCCCCUUUCUGAUUCCAGUCGUGCAUGCACACUGCAUAUACAGGUCGGUCAGGUCUCUGCUGCCUGCUGCGACUGCGAGAGAUCUCGCUCGCUCGUCUGGAUCGAUUGGAGUUUUAUGAGUUGGAUGCUGGCAGCAGGAGCAUCUUCUUCUCUCACAUGCACUCGAUCGGUUUCUCUUUCCAUUUCUUCGUGGUUUCUUGUCUGUGUGUUUCUCUCGUUAUAGUUUCUUGAUUUGUGAUCACUGCUGUCUGCACUGCGUAGUUAUUAGUCCAGAGAAUUGUUGCCUGGUUUUCCAACGCAGAUCGAUGUGUGCACUGCAAACUACUGCCUGUUUUUGUUGGAAGCUGGAUUUUAUGAAAAAAAAGUAUAGUAAUUCUCAAGUUCUUGUUUUUUUUUCUCUCUCUUCCCUUCCUCCCUACCUAGUUCGAGGUGGAUCCCCUCCCUACCUUGGCUGCAAAGCAAGUAGUAGACUUGACGAGACGAGCUUGGCCUUCCAGUUUGCACCUGUUCAAUCAAUAUACUUCAUUUAAAGCUCUCUGGCUGUCCUCACAGUCACACCUGAGCUGAGAGUGAGAAUUAAUUCAGGUGAAGAAUAUGGAAGGUUGGAGUCAGUAGACUUCAUUCAAUUCAUGGCGCUACUACCAGUUUUCCCCCCUGGCCGCGCUCUUAGCUUGUUUGUGUUCUUCUCGGCAAGGCUCACGUUUUUGUUUUAACCGGUUGAAGAAUUCAAACUCGUACCAACUUAUUUUGUUUGGUAAAUAAUAAAAAGGCUAAGGAAGUUCCAUAUUUUUCAAGAAGAAAACAAAAUCAGUUUACAUCCCAAGAUUCCAUGUGUGUGCAUGCAUGAGCUGUUAGCCUGUUACUCAGUUCUUCCUUCUUCCCCCAAUUAUGAGAAGCAAAUAGGAGCCAUGACACAAUCCAUGUCCAUUCCUUUGUUCUCUAUAUCUCUUCCUGCAUGCAAACUCCUCUCCUUCCCCAAAAAAUAUCUCUUGCAAAAUAUUCCCCUCCGUCUCAUAGCUUGUCUCUACCGUGCCACAGCUCACAGUCUCACACCCACCGAGAGAAAAGCGGAAACCAAAACAAAUAUCUUCCGUCCCCAAAUUACUAUAUCAUCAGUACUACUAGCUACUAGCUCCCACCAUCGUUUCUUAAUCAUGCAUGGCUAACUUAUAUAAGCAAAAUAAAUUAAUGACUCCCGCAUCCGCAUAGAACAAUAAUUCCCUCGAAAUAAUUAAUAGUAAAACUCAAUCAUCAAUAUAGAAAAACCAUGUGCUACUGUCCUCCUUCCUAAUCCACAACAAGUGUUGUGCUGACGAUCAUCUAUAUCCUUCCUUGUGCAUCCAUAAUGCAUUCUUUUACUGUUCGCUGAUGCGGAAUUCAAAGUAAAUUUUCCCUCCUGUCCAUCAUCAUGCAUGCAUCAGUUCGCGAUCAAUCAUAUAUAUAUGCCAUUUCUUCUCUCUUUGAUUCUUUUGCAAAGCUAGAUCGAUACUCCUAUUAGCUAACUAUAGACUUGUGUUUGAUUAUUUCUCUUCGAUGGAACUUGCAGACCCCGACGCUGAGGUGAUCGCGCUGUCGCCCAAGACGCUGCUGGCGACGAACCGGUUCGUGUGCGAGGUGUGCAACAAGGGGUUCCAGCGGGAGCAGAACCUGCAGCUGCACCGUCGCGGGCACAACCUGCCGUGGAAGCUGAAGCAGAAGAACCCGCUGCAGGCGCAGCGGCGGCGCGUGUACCUGUGCCCGGAGCCGACGUGCGUGCACCACGACCCGGCGCGCGCCCUCGGCGACCUGACGGGGAUCAAGAAGCACUUCUGCCGCAAGCACGGCGAGAAGAAGUGGAAGUGCGACAAGUGCUCCAAGCGCUACGCCGUGCAGUCGGACUGGAAGGCGCACUCCAAGAUCUGCGGCACCCGCGAGUACCGAUGCGACUGCGGCACACUCUUCUCCAGGUAAUGCAGCCGCCAACAUAUGCCUCUCUCGCUGCUUAUCGCUCCCGUGUCCGGCCGGUUUCUCGCAUGCAUUCCCAUCGCCUCGUUUUCGCUCGAGUGUACUGUAGUCUAUAUCAGCAGUGUUAUUGACACAGAUGGCAAGGUAUAGCUGCAUUGCAUUUGUAUGUAUGUGUGUAUGUACAUAUAUAGAGUAUGUUCAUGAUUGCUGCAUCAUGAUAUGGCAAGAGUGUAUAUAACUAGCUAGGCAUGGCAUCGUCAUGGGGUUUUGCACUGCAUGAGCCUGUUGUAGCUGUCGGCUUAUGGCUACCCCUUGGAUUCGGUGAGCGAGUAAAGUAUUAGGAAAGUUCCAUGGUUUGGCUGGCCUUCGUUCUUUAGGGUUAGGGUUUUGUUUGGGCUUGCGGCGACAUGGCGCCUGUAUAGUUUUGGUGCUCACUGCUCAGCAGCUCAGCUGGCCUGCCUGAUGAUGAGCUAGAAAGACGAACGAAGAUAGAUCCGCCGUGGGGAGGAGAGAGAGGAAUAGCUAGCUAGCUAGCCAGGCCGAGCGAGCGAGCUCAGCUGGGAGGACUGCUUGCACGUGAAUGCAGAAAUGGCUUCUUUUUUGAGCCUUUUGGCCUUUGGUGAUGAUGCUUCCCUUUCCCGACUACCCUUCCUAGGGAAGCAGGAACCAGCAAACUCCCUCAAGUCUGUCUCGCCAAACACUCGUCACAGUCACUAGUAUUUAUCUAUCUUUUUCUUUUCUUCCCCUGAACGGCUGAACUGAUUCGUCAGUGUUACCCAUCAUGUUUACACAGAUAUGCAUGAGUCUAUGGCCUCCUUUAGUUGGCAAAAUUUUUCGUUUUUGGGUACUGUAGCAUUUUGUUUUUAUUUGACAAACAUUAUCCAAUCACGGAGUAACUAAGCUCAAAAGAUUCAUCUCACAAAUUACAGGUAAACUGUGCAAUUAGUUUUUAUUUUCAUUUAUAUUUAAUGCUCCAUGCAUGCGACCAAAGAUUCGAUGUGACGGGGAAUCUUGAAAAUUUUUGCAAACUAAACAAGGCCUAUGUUGUUACUGACCCUGUAGACCCACAUUUUUACUGGUCCAUCCUGUCAGGAGCAGUCAAUUAAGUUGCAAGGACUGCAUCACUUGGCUGCCAUGUAAGCCUAGCUUGUUCUCAUGUGAGUUGGCCGCUGUCUAGAUGUGGCAGGCAGGGCCGUUCGUUGGCCGUGCCAAUGAGCCAGGCCAGGUCCACCCCUUUUCAUGGACACAUUUGCCAUGGCCUGGCCUCCUCACAGUAUGCCCUAGUCACGCAUGCAUCACCUAGUAGGUGUAACUUUGAGCCACUGUUCACAUUUCUUGGCGCUGGCGGUGUUAAACAUGUCCCAAAGUGGCGUGGGCAUUCUCACUACUCUCUUUCAUGGGUAUGGCAAAAAUUCUCCAAUAGGCAGUAAGCAUAUAUAGUACUACUGAGUUGCAUCAACAGGAGUUGCAUUAAUGGCCGCUUGAGUUGCUCUAUUGAAGAAGCCCUUCUCUUCCACUGUUUGCUCACACUAAAUCCAUAGAUUCCACACGUUUUGUUGUCAAACAGUAAUCUUGAUUAGGGCCUACUAUUAGAUCCAUUUAGUGCGUUGUUGAAGGAUUGCAAGGAAAAAAAAAUCACGGUGUGUGUGACUGUGUCUUGGUCCCUUGGGAAGUGAGCUUACCAGCCCCACAAAGUUUUCUGAUCUCCUUGGUGUGUGUGUGUGUUCGUGUAGGAGUAGAUGCAUGACAGUUCUGAUGCCUAUGUCUCGCUGCCUUUUCCUCGUCUCAAGCUUCCUACUAGUGCGAACCUGGCAGCGCAUCUCACCUUUUCUUUCUCCAUUAUUGAUUGACAUGGGUUUCUGGGAUCUUGAGCUAGCUUUGUGGUGAGGCUAGCCUGCUGCUUUUGAUGUCUGCAUGCGUCCAUGCAUGGUUACCAAACACCUUUGACCAAUGCUGUCAGACAAGACAAACCACGUAAUGUUUCAGGUAAUACUAGUCUCUAGCACCAUUAGGAAAGUGAAAUAAACUCCUGAUUGCACACAUCACAUACUGCGGACUCUUUAUCCACAAAAAAGGAAAUUUGCAGAGCCUGCAGGGGAAAAAAAAUGGAUCACUACCGUUCAGAUCCAUGUUACAAACACAACAUUCAGUGGCACAGCAUCAGCAUGCAUGCAUCCAGUUGCAGCGGCGUUCACAUGUCCAUCAGAAACCCGAGAUGCCGCUGUUCCUCGAUGCCUGCGCCGUCUGCAGCGUGACAUUUGGCCAUGCAUGCAUGCGUCUGCCUGCAGUUUUUCCUACGAAACCUUUUACUGUACAUUUUCACUGCGCCGUCUCGGGCUCAUGCGAUUGUCUGCUUCCCUUCUCUGAGCUCUGACCUAGCUACACUACUCUACACAGCAAUGCAAGCAUGCGUGAAUGAUAUCAUAUCGUUGGUCCAUGCAUGCAGGAGGGACAGCUUCAUCACGCACCGGGCGUUCUGCGAUGCCCUGGCGCAGGAAAGCGCGCGGCUGCCGCCGACGAGCCUCAGCAGCCUCACCAGCCACCUCUACGGCGCCACCAACGCGGGCAACAUGGCGCUCAGCCUCUCGCAGGUGGGCUCCCACCUCACCUCCACUCUCCAGGACGGCCACCACCACCACCCGUCCCCGGAGCUCCUCCGACUCGGCGCCGCGGCCGGCGGCGGCGGCAGCAGCAUCGCCGCGCGCCUCGACCACCUCCUGUCGCCCAACGGUGCGUCCGCCUUCCGCUCGCCGCAGGCUCCGCCGUCGUCGGCGUCCUUCUUCCUCAACGCGGGGGCAUCGGUCGGGCAGGACUUUGGGGACGACGCGGGCAAUGGGCCGCACUCGUACCUGCAGGCCAACAAGCCUUUCCAUGGGCUCAUGCAGCUCCCCGACCUCCAAGGCAACGGUGCUGGGGGCCCUGGCGCCUCAGGCCCCAGCCUCUUCAACCUGGGUUUCUUUGCUAACAAUGGCAACAGCUCGGGGUCCAGUCACGAGCAUGCAAGCCAGGGGCUCAUGAACAACGACCAGUUCAGUGGCGGGGCAGGUGGAGGCGGUGGCGGCGGGGGCUCGGAGGUAUCGGCGGCGGGGAUUUUUGGCGGCAACUUCGUUGGUGGUGGAGAUCAAGUUCCACCGCCGGGGCUCUACAGUGAUCAAGCCUCCAUGCUGCCGCAGAUGUCGGCGACCGCUCUGCUGCAGAAGGCGGCGCAGAUGGGCGCGACCUCGAGCACCAACGGCGGCGCGGCAUCCAUGUUCCGAGGCUUCGUGGGCUCUUCUUCCCCUCACGUGCGGCCGGCGACGCCGCACAUGGAACAGAGCGACGCGAACCUGAACGACCUGAUGAACUCGCUCGCUGGAGGUGGCGUCGGCGGCGGAGGAAUGUUCGGCGGCGGCAACGGCGCCGUCAGCGCGGGGAUGUUUGACCCCAGGCAGCUGUGCAACAUGGCGGAGCACGAGGUGAAGUUCGGGCAGGGUGGCGGAGACAUGACACGGGACUUCCUUGGCGUCGGCGGAGGCGGCAUCGUGCGCGGGAUAUCGACGCCGAGAGGAGGAGGAGGAGACCACCAGAGCAGCAGCGAUAUGAGCUCCCUGGAGGCCGAGAUGAAGUCGGCCUCGUCCUUCAACGGUGGCAGGAUGCCAUGACCGACCCAUCGGCGGCCAUCGAUCGAGCUUAGACAAGACAUAAGUUCGCGCACAGUAAGCCAGAGACUUGAUCAACAAGCAGAUGCAAUGAGAGGAGUAAGGUCGUCGUUAUAUAGCGUAGCGGCAAACAAAUGCAAGUUAGCAACUGAGUCGCAUGAGUGAGUUCAUGCAAGGGAUAAAGCAAGCUAGCUAGCUAGCUUUCAUCAUCCGAAGGGACCUUGGGUGAGAGAGAAAGGCGUCUUCUUUGACUAAUGGAGUAAGCUAGAGUGCGAGUUGGACGCAUGUGAUGACCCCUUUGCUCGUGGUGGGGGUUGGUGUUCAUGCUGGUCUUGUUCUUGUUGGUUUUCCCUUCCUUGUAGUUGGAUAAUCUUUGUUGGAUUAAGUAUAGUUUCUGGUCAUAGAACCAAUAAGGAUGUUUGUAGCUAGCUUAAUGGGGGCGUGUGAUUUGCAGCUUAAUUAGCACCAUUCCCUCUCCUGCUAUUUUUUAUUUCCUUUUCUCUUGUAGCAAAACAAUAUUCCCCUUACAAUGCCAUUAAUUAUGCUAGCUCAAAUUCAUGCUGUUUUCCUGUGGAUGCAUAUAUAUACUAUAGUCAAGUGUUCUUUCUGCAGUCAACGAUAUGUUGCCAUGUUUUCUUAUUUAUUAGUCUGAAGUCCACCUCGCUUCAUUGAAAUUUGGCUGAUACUGAUGUUGAUUUGUUUUGAGAGAAAAUAUUGUUUCUUCGCUAAAAAGUACACUUCAUUAAAAUUUGGCGGGCUAAUGCUGAUUUGUUGUGAGAGAAAACACUACUUCACUCACUUUCUGUUUGAAGAUCAUAAAACCAUGCAUGUGUACACCUAGCUAGUAUUUCAUAUAUUUUCAGCCAGGAGGAUUGUUAUCAAGAUAGCGUUUAGGGUCUGAAAAAAAUCAAUUUCGUUUUAACAAAGUCAAAUCUUUUAGACCUUAUAAAUAAUUCUAAAUCCAUGUCAAAAUAAGUGUUGUUCUGACUAUGCACUUGCGGCUAUUUUAGGAUGGAGUUCUUUUCCUAGUAUUGAUAUAGUAUACAUGGGUGAAAAAGGUCAUUCACCCGAAUUUUAUGAACAUAUUAAUUAUAAAAAAAUGUUAUGGUGUUUUGGAGGAGUGCUACUUUAAGGUGUUGCGAGAAUUAGGAGAAAUAUUCAUUAUUCUAAGUUACACCAACUAUACUUAGAAAUUAUACCAAAAUAAUCAUUGACCCUGUAGUACAAGUGGUGUAAAAAAUGUAAAUCGAGCAUAAGUUGAUGGUAACCGGAAUUUGGAGGCGUGGAGAGAAGAAUCUUACUCUUUUUCUCUUCCAUGCAAGCCAUUUAGGAGAAGAAAGGGGAAAAAAAUGGGUGCGGUGGAGAGAAAGAUUUCCACCCGGAUACUAUGGGGGGGGGUUGUUUAGUUCUCCUUUGAUCCUAAAAAAUUUUGGGUUUUAGUUCAUUAUUUUACACAAUUGAACUAAACAACAUGUAAAUUUUUUUGGCAAAAUAGUUGUCACUCUCCAUUUUGGAUUUUGGCAUCAAGAGGCUAAAAAGCUCGAAAAAGUCUGAAGAGGCCAUAAUGAGAGUAAUAAAUUCUUCAUUUUGCAUGAAACUAAACAUAACUUUAAAAAAAUAUCAUUUUGUAUUUCAUCAUUGCAAAAUAGUUGACAUUUUAUAUUUUUCAUUCCAUGAAGAACUAAACAACCCUGGGUAGACAAACCCAAACAAAGAUAAGACAAACCCUAACAGAGAUAAAUAAAUUUGUUGUCUAACUAGUUUAGAAGGGGGUGGGUGGCGUAGCUAAGGUUCAUUUUAUACUCUCAUACGUUUUGUACUACUUCACGCUACAUUGUGUUGUUGCACGACAAGUGGAACUCCUAUUAAAUUUACUGCACAUAUGAUACUUGAGUUUUUUUUAACGAACAUAUGAUACUUGCUCUAACUGAUUGGCCACUUUGAUGAAGGACAGCACGAGCUGAUCUCUAGGGCAAAAGAUGCCUUCCUGCUGCCCAUGACUGUCUAUAGCGCUUGACCUAUAUGCACAGCACAUCGUGCUGCGGCUUAGCUUCUCGCUAAGCUCGAGCUUGCUACUGCUUGGUCGUGCUGUCUCUCUACGUUCGACAGAGAGCGAGCGAUAGGAUGUAGCUUUCGAUCGUCUCGUGCAUGCACGCCGGUCUAGCUCAGGCCCUGUUUAGUUCUCUCUCCAAAAUUUUUUCAUCCAUCCCAUCGAAUCUUUGGACACAUGCAUAGAACAUUAAAUGUACAUAAAAAAUAAACUAAUUACACAGUUUGGUUGAAAAUCGCGAGACGAAUCUUUUAAGCCUAGUUACUCCAUGAUUAGCCUUAAGUGCUACAGUAACCCACAUGUGCUAAUGACAGAUUAAUUAUACUUAAUAGAUUUAUCUUUCAGUUUCCUAACGAGCUAUGUAAUUUGUUUUUUUAUUAGUAUCUAAAAACCCCUCCCGACAUCCUUCCGACACAUUCGAUGUGACACCCAAAAAAUUUUCAUCUCCAAUCUAAACAGACCCUCAGGCGCCACACCACGGUAUGGGCCGCCCAAAUCAUUGCAUCCUUCUCAUCAGUAUAUAUAUCAAUCAUUCUCGACUGAAAAUAUUAAUUCAGAUAUUCUAUAUAUUAUUGAAUCCAUAUUGAAUGAAACAUUUGUCUGAAUAAUUCGGUUUACUUUGACACUAGUAAUAAAUACAUCUGCACACUCCAUAUAAUUUCCUCUGUAAACUAUUGGACCUUUCACUAGUAGAGAAAUAGGCACUAGUCUUGGUUCCCAACGCCCAUUAGUCCCGGUUUUGGAAACAGAAUUACACAAUUGGAACUAAAAGUCUCCAUUUUUUAGUCCCGGUUCCUAGAUAUGCUUAUUGGGUAAAAAAGAAGUGCAACUAGUGGAGAUUCGAACUUAAGACCUCUCACUUCAGUCUUACACGUGUUGCGAUCUCAACUCCCACCACACAUCUAAUGUAUAGACAAGAUAUGCUUUCCUUUUAAAUUCACUCUCGAGGCACCUUUAGUCUAGGUUUAAGACACAAACUCAGACUAAAGGUACCAUUAGUCUAGGUUAACCGAGAUUAAAAGUCACACCUUUAGUCUGGGCUCGUACCUCAAACCGAGACUAAAGCCUCCUGCACUAACACGUCUUGGUAAAUGUUACAACCGAGACUAAAAGGUGAAAUUAGUCCCAAUUUCUAUUACAAACUGGGACUAAAGGUCUCAUAUCACCUUCAGUCUCGAUUUGCAGUUUGAAACCAAAACUAAUUCUUUGGCCAUCGAUAGAAAGUCGUUUCUUUGCUGAUGUUUUUUUUAGUAAAUAUGUUAUAGGGGUGUAAACCCGUCUAGAUCCCCUUCAAAAAAAAUUCCUUUCUUCUUACCAAAUAAUUUGGCAGGAGUACUGCAUGCAUAUCAUUUAGGACCCGUUUGGAUGUUUUCAUUUGGGAGGAACUGAAAUGUGCUUUAUGGACUGAGCUAUUUUUGGCUUGGAAUUAGACAUUCUAAAACUUUUUAAAAUUUAGAUAUAAGUAUGUCUUAAAUUCAUGGUGCGAGAGAUAUAAAUAGAUUUAUAGAUCCUCAUCAUUCUAUAUUUCUGCUUUGUAACUUAUAACACCUUCUUCGAUUCGCUCCCCUGCAACAGAAUGCGGCACAUAAUUAUCUUCUCAUGUGGCCAACAACAGUAUACAAGUAUAUUUUGCAUGUGGUUAUAUUAGCUUCAUUGAUUUGUGCCUAAAUUGUUAUUAUUAGAAUGAAUUUCUCUUUUGAGAUUUAUUAGAAUGGAUUUCAGUUCCAAGGAUCAAUCCUGGUUCUUGCUUACAACUCCGUAAACAAAAAAAAAAUCUAAUUCUUUGAUUGAUCAAAGAAUUAGAUUUUUUUUUUGUUUACGGAGUUGUAAGCAAGAACCAGGAACAGUUUUUUUCUUCAACUCCACAAGUAGCUCCACUGAUGUAGUUGAAGUUGUUUUAGAAAAACAAAAAUUGGUAAAAACAACUUUUCAUAGUGAACAAGAGAGUUGGAGCCUUGGUGACAGCUGCUCGCUGAAUGGAUGUAUCGUCUAUUCUAGUAGCAGCAGCUUUAUGACGAUUUUUAGCUCAUCCAGCUCCCACCCUGAGCAGGUUUCAAGAAGCUCCACCUAAGGAGGUGUUUUAUUUUAACUUGUUUGGUAAAAAAAAAACAGCUUCAAACAGCUUUUACUGAACUGUUGGAGAGUUGUGCCAAAUGGAGCUUAUUAUGCCCUGUUUGGUUGCCCCAGUUUUAUUUUUAAUUUACUUCACAAUCGAGUAUUAAAUAUAUAUUAUUUACGACACUAAAAACACAACUAGAUAAUAAUUUACAGACAAAUCUUUUGAGUCUAAUUUAUCCAUAAUUGGACAUAACUGUUAAAUAAAAUAAAAAUACUAUAGCACAUGUUAAACUUUAACACCUCCAAAAUCAAACACCCUUGGAGGGAUGUCUAUACAGGACUCGGAAUAGUAGCUAGGAUCGAGAAGAAAAUUUUGCGGCGGAGGGGAAGACAAGAGCUAGGGCGUGGUUUGGUCAUACUGUAUGGUGGUUGGUACAUACAACUCUCAAUCGAGGCAGGACGACUCAGGAACGGAAUGUUUGGGCCUAACUGCUAGAUUCGCGGUUUGACCGUGGCUCCCUGUGUGGCAGCCACGCAUUUUGUGGAAGAUUUUGGCUCUCCUCUUGGCGGCCGCGCGCGGUGGUUACUGAAAGAGAAUUAUUGUCGGAAUGAAGUCGUCCGUACCUGCCUGCUGCAGCGUUGCGUUGACGGCGACGGCGGCGAGGCCAACAGCCAUGGCCGACAGGGACAGCUGCCGGCCGUAAAAGGCCACUAGUAGCUCUCGCGAUCUCGCCCGCAAAAGCGGCUGCGAUAUCCGAUUUUCCAAUGAUUCUUGGGAGGAAAGGGGAAAAGCAGGCAGGGCCGCGCGCGGCCGGGCCAGAGCAUGCAAAGCAUGAUGCUGAUGCGCCCGCCCGCGAUCAGCUGCUAGCCUUCACUUUUGUCUCGUGUGCUGUCCGUGAUCUGACGAUCGAUGAUGAUGAUGAUGAUGAUGAGAUUGAGCGUCAAGAAAAAGAUAGAUUGGUCACAAGUACAAUUGUUCCCUGGAAAGCCAAGCAAAAAGGUGAGAAUUAUUGGAGGGCGGAUGGAAGCUGCAGGGACAGAGCAUGCAUGCAUGCAUGGGUUUGUGAAUGCCUAAAAUUAAAGCAGCUACAGCUAGUAGUAGUCGUCAAGGAAGAUCUCAUAGUUAGUGGACUAGCAGUACGUUCACAUCAGAGAGGUUGGAGAGCUACUUACUAGUCGAUGCAAUACUGCCCUAAAGAUUUACAUAUAUGCACGAAUUUUGGUAAAAUCAACCUAGGCCACCUGUACUGUUUGAUACUUUAGCGGCAUCUGAUAGAGAUUAAUUAGUAUUGCCCCCACGUGACCGCUGUUACAGAGACGCGCAGAGCAAUGUACUGCGCCAAAAAAAUAAACAAAAUCAUCUCUAUAUAUGUGUGUGUGUGUGUCUGUCUAUCCAGCUCGAUUUAGAAUUGAACAAGGUAGCAACCAGCCAUGAGGAGGAUCUGACCAAUGUCCGCACGUGAGCUGAGCAAGAUAACUCUGACGCUUUUUAUCAGCAGCGCUCUUCCUUCCUUUUUAAUUGGCCGGCCGGGCUCCGAGACCUGGAGAAUCUCUGCAUUUACUAAUCGCUCCGACUGUCGCAAAAACGUGGGGAGGGGAGAUCGACGACGCAGAUGCUGCUGAUGCUGAUGCAGAUGCAGAUGCAGCACACCACACGGGAUGCUUGCUGCAAAGGUUAACCAUCCUGGGAACUCCUGCUCCCCGAUGAUCAGCGGUCUCCUUGCAAAGCAAGGACACAGUGCAAGCCUGACACGUAUAUAUGUACGGUGCGGGAUCUAUAUACUACUAUUACUCGUAUACUGUGUCAUGACCGGACCAACACGGUGCUGCGGCGUACGCUAAACUAGUAGGCUAGACUAGACAGAGUAGAAUAAUUAUUGUUAAUUAGGAGGGAGUACAAGAUUAGGCGCGCAGCGAAUCGGGGCGAUUUUGUUUAGGCGUGAAGGGUUAGUUGGGACGCGAUGCCGGGGUUUUGUUUGUAGCGUCGUCGCGGCGCGUUUGGCAUGUCCGGUGAAGAACCUUCGCCCGCGGGGGCGGGGCGCAUGCAGGCAAGCAUCAUGUCGCCCAAGGUCACGGGCGCAUCGUUUGGUUUCCGCGCGAGCGCGAGCGCGAGCGAAGAAUCCUAUGCAGCACGCGACGGCGAUGCGAUUGCGAAUGUCACGAUGCUGGGCUGCCUGUGCCGCCUGGCCUGAUGCUGAUUGCACGCCGUGCCCGCGCUCCUCUUGAUGCGUGCAUUUGGAGCCUAGCUACAGCUUUUCGGUCGCAAUCAUGUGUACGUACGCGGCUGUAGCUGUUGCCCUGCAGUGUGUCCCUGACUCCCCUUGGCGUACGUGGCACGCCGCACGCGAGCGAGCGUGCGUGCGCACGUACGUACGUACGUAGCUAGCUGAUCGGUGUUUCGGCAUGCUUCUUUUUUUUUUUUACCCCGUGGUAGAUUCGGAGAUCAGGGCGGCUAGCCCAGAGCUGUGUGGACUGUGGUGAGGUUCAGAAGUCACAAGUCACAACGUGGCACGGACUCGUACGGUUUUCGUGUUUGCAGUUGGUACGUGCUUGGUGUUGAAUCUCGUGAAUAGAGAGAGAGAGAGGGGGCCGGGUACAGCGAUUUUGCAAUCAGCAAACAGCUAGCUGCCUGCCCUUGCUGCAGCCGGUUCAUGCACAAGAUCGACAGUGGCCUGGCCUCCCCCGGCGGCCCGGCCCCAGUCGAUGGUGACGAUGACAGUAUUGGCCUCCCGGGGAGCAGAGUGAACGCCGGGUAUUGAAACAGUAUUGACUGGGCAAAAAUCUGACGUUUCCACGGAGAUUCCACGCACCGCGCAGGCACAGUUGCCGACUUGCCGUGCCAUCACAUUCACGCUCCUGUUCCGAGGUCCACCUCCACGAACGAGGAAGCAGGGAGCAGCAGCGCACGGCCACCGGCUUUGGUGGAUGCGGGGCCUUUGGUUUGGUUGCUGGCAUCGUAUCGCAUCACAUCGCAGCGACCUCCAAGCCCGUGGGCUGCGCGGCCCACUCCUGAUCGCGGGGGUUUCAAGCGCGUUCUUGGUGUCGCUAACGUCCACUUCUUGGGCCUCAACCGCCUCGCCCUCGUCCGUCCGCGCCUGUGUGUCCCCCGGACCCGGCAGCGCGGCAGCUGCGUAGGGCGUCAUGGCGCUUUUGAGUUUUCCACCGCUCGGCGUUGCUCUCCUCCGUGCCCACGACACCGGAGGAGGCACAGCGUUUGCGACGCGAAGGUUCGUUUCUUCUGUGAAGGUGGUGUAGAGUCCAGUCCAGCAAAUGGAAGCUACAAUAAAAAGGUAGAGCAAAGAGAUGUUCCAUACCCAUACUGCCAUGCGAGCUGAAACAAAGCAUCGGUGUGUUCUCAUCGGUUCAGGACGUACGUUACUGGUUGUUGGUGGCUAGAUCUUGAGCUCAAGUACCGUAGCGUGUAGUACGACAUACAAGUCAUGUCCGCUGUGCAACUAUCAGAUUCGGUCGGUUGUUCAGGUACAACAGCCGUUGCAAUGGUCCAGUCGACGACCGUGCUGUCGCUCCUUUUUGUUUUCGAUUUCACUGUUGCACGACCGUGCAGGCCCGGGAGUACCGAUGUGAUAGCACAGAGCCCAGCCCAACUGAAAAAGCAGCCAGUAAGUACCCUGCUCAAACGGGCCUUGGUACAUUGGGCACGUGAAAAGCGGGCAGUACCCUGCUUAAAGGAAAAGCAGGGUACAAUCAAGUCCAGAGUGCAGCCCAACUGAGACAAAUGCCGUGAAUGUGGAUGCGCCCGCGGCCCGCGCUUUCUGAUGUGCAGAGAGCAGCACGUCCGGGUCUGCACUGCGGAGAUUGACGAUGCAAACUGGGCACUGGCAACUGGCAGCAGGUUCACGAGCAUCCAUGCUUCUGAUGCGGGAUCGGCUUGGGGCUUCUGAAUCCAAACCCGAACUCUCUAGAGACUUGCUCAGAUGAACGUGGCUUGACGGCUAUGGAACUGACCCUCCGAGCUCCUGCCUAAGUUGCAACUGACCCCGUCCAUUCAAUAAAUGGUACUUUCAAUCAUAAUCAUAGCUUUUCAGUCAUGCGAACAAGCAAACCGAAGCCAAGCUUCGUUAUGUUCAUGAAUUUUCAGUCAAGCGAACAAGCAAACCAAAGCCAGGCUUCGUUAUGUUCAGCACGCAUUCAGCAUCCUCGCGUGCCGAGUCCACCACAGCCAGGCUUCGUUAGGUUUGAUAGCAUGGUAACAAAAGUACCCAAGAAACUAGCUGCCAUGAUCAUCGGAGAAUCAAAGCCUCACAAAAACAAUUAGGUUCGUCAUAACAUACACUAAGAUUGGCUGGUUACAACUUGCAACAAAUAGUUCACACAUCACAGUACUAAAGCUCCUCGAACUGCAGCGUCACAACAUCACGAAUACAAAACAAGCGUACAUAAAAUCCCCAGAUCACUUGAAUGAACUGGAAGUCUUAAUGCAUAAAUUCAGUGUCCGAUAGUAUCACCGAAACAGUGCGGAUACAUGGAAUACUCCAGGAUUCCUUGGUGAAUGCAGCUCAGCAGUAAAACAUGACACGCUUCACGUUUUCCUUGAGAGCGGGUAGGGGCCUGACCGCAACACUCCCGGCCCCUCUGAUGCCGCGUGCCCCACCUGGUGGAGGCCCACGGGCCCCACUGGCCAUUGACCCACUGUCAGAGGUAUCUGGCUCCAUGUAGAAGCGAGCUCGGAAGGCUGCCAGAUGAGCAUAGUAUGCCGGGGGCACUGCAAUCAAUAAAGCAAAGGUCAACAAUUUGUUUUAUGGAGUAGCACCGCAAUGGGUUGCCAGAGUAGACAAGAGACUGUGUUCUCAAGCUGGGCUUACCAAUUGACACGGAGCGAGUGCACCUAGCGUACCUGCAAAAGUGGAAACAAUGUUUAACAGGCAGUUGAAGAGGGCACGGGAAAUAAUUGAUCGAUGGAGCAGUAGAUGUAUUACGUGUAGCACAGGUUGUUUGUCAGAGUCUGCAGCUCAUCAGCUGUAAACUUGUUCUCAUCCCACAGGACAUGGUAAUGAGCAGGGCGGCUUGUUCCCUAAUGGACGUGAAAUUGCAGUCAGUAAUCAGCCUGUUUCAUCGAAGGAUGAAUUGAAAAGGGGAAUGAAAAAAACUAACCUGAAUGCCGGCAUGGCUACACAGGUAGAAAUCAAAUUCCGUAGGAUGGCAAAUCUUGGAAUCAACCACGGUGCCUAAAUUCAGAUGAAAAGAUAGUAUCUGGUCAGAUCCAAAUAACCAAAUUAGACAUGCUAAGCCCAAAAAGAUGGAGAGCACCAAGAACUAACCAGGCAGUAUGUUUCCACUUCUAUCAACUGUACGCUGGUCAUUGUGGUUAUUAGCAAACAGCCUAGUGUGAUGUCGCUUCUGGACCACGACAAAAGUAACUGGAGGCUGGUAAUUGGGCUCCAGGGAUGCACAGGCCUAUUUCCAUGGUACCGAGAGGAUAGUCAAGAAAAGAAGAAAAACAACAUCAAACGAAUGGUAUGUAAUUACAUGUACCUUUCUGAUGGCAUCAAGUUCAUACAACAAUACUUGAUAGAACUGUCCCUCACUGACACCAUCCCUGAAAUCCAGAACUGCUUAGUAUAUUGAGAAACAGAUCAGUAAAGUUGACCAAUCAAGGAUAAUAACCUGUAGAAUAUGAUCCUUUGGGGCUUCUGUCCAGUUGCCCUCUUGAAAGAAAUGAGAAGUUCCCUGCAAUAAAAAGAAUUUAAGCAUAAAGCAGAAUCCAAAGAUGGAGAACUGUGAAUAAAUCGCAUCAUCUCAAUUGGGAUCAUACUUUAUCAUGCCACCAGUUACUGUCCUUCUCUGUGGGUCUUGCCAUACUUUGAAAAGAUCCUGUAUCAGCUCCUGGCGAUGAGCUUGGGCACUCACUAGUCCAGCAUAUUUGGUGACCUCAGGCCAGUCUUGUGAAGCAACAACCUAGGAAGGAACAAUAUUGUAAGAAUUAAAAAGUGAAAUCUGUCGUUUAGACUAUGUGAACUUCUGGCCUGUUAUAAUUGCAACAAGUACUGCACUUACAGCUGCAAUGGAAGGACUGGAAUCUUCUCCAGGAUGUGGAUGGGUAACAUCAGCACCAAAUAUUAUGGUCGGCCUGUCACUGACAAGGGGGAUUCUCCUUGUCAAAGCAUCUACAAGUACAGUAUUCCUUCCCCCAACCUGAAGAGGUAGGAAAACUGUGAGAAAACUAACGAUUCAUGAGUGACUUAAGGAUGGAAGUGUGGAGAGAUUUUACCUUAACAUUUAUUUUGAGUGCAACAUUUGCAAGAUACUGCUUGCUCAUCUUAAAAACAUGUUUAGUCAGACAACACUGGGAGACCAAUCCAAGAUCAGUCUCACAGAUCCUUUUGAGAUCCCCUGAGAAAUGAAAAGAAUGAUGAUGACCAAAUGUAUUCAGCAGACAAUGUUCAAGUGUGUUUUGGAAGAGAACAUUACCAUAAAGAGAACCAUUAUUGUCAGGCAGUAUUACAAUCAGCAGAUCGAGUUCCCUGCCCUGUGGCCUCAAUACGUUCAUUGCAUCUUGAUAACGGGCCUUUAACGCCCUUUCAACAUGUUCAGGUCUUGCAGUCACUGGAGCGAGCACAGGCUCAAGAGCAAAAUCCUAAAGGGAAAGAAAACACGUAGAGUAAAUAACAAAAAUAGCCAAAGGAUAUUGCAGACAAAUGAUAAUUGAAGGGAAAAGACUUACCAUUCCUGAUAUUUGGCACAUGACUGCAAGCUCGUGACAGAAACCCCUAGCAGCACUAUCUUGCACAUUCCGAGAGAAGUUAAUACAUGCCCAGUUGCUGACUCUGCCACCAUUAACCAUUUUCUUCCAAGAAAAAGAAGGCAGCCAAAGAACAAUAGACAUGAAAGUUAUGACUCAUGAGAUUGUUAAAUUAAUCAACAAAAAGGGAGCAUGCAGACAGAAGGCAAGCUAAACUUAGAAAACAGUGCAUUUAGAUUCAGGGGUGACACCACAUUCAUCUAUUGUGGUGCACUGGCACCAUUGAUUGAAAAAAUGUGCAGUAUUAGGUGACCUGUUUAGACCUUGCUAAUGAGCUCGAAAUGGCAAUGUUACUACAAGGUGUGCACCACCAUAAAUUCUGUUCUAGCUUCACCCUUGUCUAGAUUACAGCAAUGUCAAAUCAUAAUCCAAAUGUAUUUCAUAAAAGAUGGUUCUUGAUAGAACUUUUUUUGUGGACUUAUUGGUAGAUCUUUCUGAGUACAUAAUGCAAAAUCAAUCCCUCCAAAAAAAAUUCCAUGGCAAGCUUGGUAGAUCCUAGAAUUUUGAGGUAAGGAGAUAGCAAAAAGGGAUGCCUAACAAAAAAAAGAAGAAAUUAAGUACCACGUAACAAUAAACUCAGUAAUAGUUAGGGUUAUGUAACUUGGACAAACAAACUUAUAUGCUGAGGCAGCUAAUCUCCCAGUUGCUAGGUUAACUUAUUUUUCUUUUUCUUUUUUUUUUGCAAAAUAUAGUACUUAUUUAAUUUGGAUGGUCCUCACCUAAUAUUACCAUAUAAGAAAAUUAAUUGCGUUCGAAAAAAUCACAGGAAGAGCGACUUUAUCUAGAUUUCUCAGGACACAGGCAUACCUUAUUCAUCAUGUUCCAUUGGCCAACUCUGGGCAAAACAUCCUUCUCUCGGCCACUAUCAUGGUAUUUAAGCUAAUUACAAAAUGCACAAAUUCUACGUCAGCAGCCAUGCAGCAUAUGCGCAAAUACGGAAAAAAAAUGCCAAGAUGUUGUUAGAGGUCAUGUUUGUUCGCUUACCCUUGGUGGUGGCAGAACACGAGCUUCAACUGCUGCAAGACGUUCAUCAAUUCUUAUGCCAAAUUCCUGUGCAUAUGGGUCUUCAUAGUAUGCAUUGUGAUGCACAGUCUGAUAAAAGGCAAAAUAAGGAACUGAGUCAGAAUCAUAAAUUCAGCUGACUGACUUUGGUAAAUACAAAACAAAUAAAACCUCUGUACCAUAUUAUGUUUAAACAUUACACAGUAUUCUGAAAAAAACAGAUGGCGCUAUUUAUCAGCUGUUGAAUAAUUUGCUGCUGGUCUUGCACAGGAGUCAAGACUGUAGCUUGGUGACUAGAAAUCUGAAAUUGCAGAGCAACUUUGAAAGACAGUUCAAGCUGUAGUGGGAACACUUGACUAGGAGUAGUGAGGACACAGAUUUUUGGUAGGCCAUUGUGUCCUUAGCCUAGGAUAGUAGACUUUGACUGCAGUACACCAGCGCACCUUCACUAGUUUCAGUUCAUACACAAACUGAACCUACAGCUUUGUGUAUAUAAGUGCAGCCCUAGUAAUGUAUUUUUCAGUUCAGUUGAACCUUGGCCAACGCUAGAGUUUCUGCAGUGUAUGUGUGUGUGUGCUGUUCUCACCCCUUCUUCUACCUCUAGCCAUAGUGAGAGUGUGUGUGUGUGCGUGCGCGCGCAGGCGUGCACGUGCUGGUAAGCUUGCUGCUUUACCUGUGCAGGAAUCCUAGGCACCAACAAGUGGUAUCGGAGCCGUACAACUGCAUCGCCGGACUAACCGCCGGCGAUGGCACCUAGCUCGGAGACGGCUGACAGCAGCAGUGCUGCUGGGGCUGCCCAGACACGACAGAAGGUCGUUGUGCGCACCGUGCGGGAGGUCAGCGGCACAAGUUGGUCGAUGCUGACUCACACCAACUAUGGCGAGUGGGCGGUGACCAUGAAGGUAAAGCUCAGAGCCCGACGGCUCUAGAAUGCCAUCGACAAAGGCACCGACAAUGAAGAAGACGACAUGUCAGCGAUGGAGGCUAUCCUCGCUGCUGUGCUGACAGAGUACAGCGUUGGGGGCGAAGAAGACUGCUAAGGAGGCGUGGGAGGCCAUUGCUGCGAUGUGCGUCAGCUCUGAUCACGCAAAGAAGGCGACGUUCCAGCUGCUGAAGUAGGAGUCUGAAGUACAUCCGAAUUGCUCUCUCCAUAGAGACAAUGUUGGACCUGUCCACCCUCACUAUUGAGGAUGUGACCGGCUGUCUGCGGGCGGUGGACGAGCGCAUGGAACUGGUCACAGCAACGACGGACAGCGGCAAGCUGCUGUUUACAAAGGAGGAGUGGGCUGCCCGGAUGAAGGAGAAGAAGUCCGGGGAAGCCUCCAGCUGCGGUGGCGAUGGCAAGCAUGGCAAGGCUUCUUCAGAGAAGAAGAAGAUUGACCCCAACGCCUAUAGGCGCUGCGGGAAGACAGGCCAUUGGGCAAAGGAGUUCCCAAAUCGCAAGCAGGAGAAGGCGGAAGCUCACCCGCCAGCCCUAAUGGUGGACAAUCAGCCCGCCAUCGCCCUUGCAAAGAAUCCAGUCCUCCACGACCGCAGCAAGCACAUCGACACUCGUUUUCACUUCGUCCGUGAUUGUGUUGAAACCGUACGACAGCUCGCAGACAUCCUCACAAGCCACUCGGCCAUCUUCGGUUCAUGGAGCGGAGGACCAAGAUUGGAAUGGUGGAAAUCAGGCAAGAGCAGCAAGUUUAGGGGAAGAAUUGUUGAAUAAUUUGCAAGAGCAGCAAGAUUAGGGCAAGAUUAGGAGUCAAGACUGUAGCUUUGUGACUAGAAAUCAGAAACUGCAGAUCAACUUGACUAGGAGUAGUGAGGACACAGAUUUUUGGUAGGCCAUUGUGUCCUUAGCUAAUAAGUAUUGCAGGCUUAUCCUGCAUCUAGGAUAGUAGACUUUGACUGCAGUACAACAGCCCACCUUCACUAGUUUCAGUUCAUACACAAACUGAACCUAAACCUUUGUGUAUAUAAGUGCAGCCCUAGUAAUGUAUUUUUCAGUUCAGUUGCCACAACCACAAGGGCAGAACCUUGGCCAACGCUAGAGUUUUUGCAGUGUAUGUGUGUGUGCUGUUCUCACCCCUUCUUCUACCUCUAGGCAUAGUGAGUGAGUAGGGACCAACAUCAGCACAGUACAAUUUACACAAACAUUUUAAUAAUCAAACAACUGUUGCAGAUACCCUGUUACCAAUCCCAGAGAGCCAGAGAUCAUUUUAGAUGCACAGGCAAAUAUAUAAUCAUGUUAAUUGUUAACAAAAGACAAGAGGGCACCCUAAACCCUGAAGAAUGCACAGGCAAAUGUGUAAACAGGGCUUCCAAAGCUAAAAGGCUUGAAAACUGCUAACCACAGGCUAUAAACUAAACAUGGUUAAACAUUUGAAUUCAUAAGAUGUAUACACUGAUGAAAUAACUUAUACAAAAACAUACGAUAAACAGCCACCUGUAAGAUGUCCAGCUCACGCUCUUGAGGGCGCUGGCAGGUCACUUUCAGUAGAGCAGUGAUUUGCUUCUCAUUGAGUCGCUUUGAGUAGCGCUGUCCUUCAACUAUUUUGCAAACCUGAAAUUUCACAUUUCAAAGCCAUAAGCAUAAUACUGAAGCUGGAUGUAGCAUUCAGAGACCAUUCAAAUAGAUAAGCACAAUAUAAGAAAUCCAAGUUCAGCGGAUACAGUCGAAGACACAAACCUCCAUUGGAAGAUAAUUUGGUCUUUGUUGAUUGCCCACUUGCAAGCACGGUAAAGUGGUGUGCUGGAUACUAAAACCAUAAGUCUCCAUGAAGUAUUGCACCACAGUCUUCACAGUACCGCGAUCAUCAACAGGGAAUCUAUCCCAAAGAAACCAAAAAAUCAUGUCACUGCACUAUUCUUUAAGCUAUUAGCUCAUACCAGCAAUGGAAGACACAUACGAUAGCUCUCUUGUUGCUUGUGAGGUUAGGCCAGAAAUGCGAUAUUUUCUGCGCAUGUUUCCCCUGUGAGUGACCUCGACCUUCACACCUCUUAGGGCUUUUUUGAUCUACAGAGGAACAAACAACAGUAACUCAACACGAACUAGCAUAAACCAAAGUUGCUAUCAAAUAGGUAAGGUAAUGAUAAUGAUUCGAACCUUCACACGAUCAGAAUCAGACAAUGGUCUAACUGAGAUAUCUCUGUUAAGAAGCUGAGCAACAAAAUCGAUCACAGGGAGAGGCUCGAUAAAUGCGGUAGAGGACAUAUCUGCAAGAGCACAAAUCAAAGGCUAAGAAAAGACCAGUACUGAUUUCAUAAACUACACUGGGAGUCCAUAGAAUUAGAAUUUAGUUACAAUACGCCAUGGAUCAUGUGUGGCAACUGAAAGAUAAACAAUGAAACAAAAAGGUUAAAGUGACAGUAUCUAACCAAUAUUCAGUGAAAGGCCCAUCUGUGUCGGCCUUAUGCUUUGGUAAAAGCCACGCCAACUUUCCAGACCCUCACCAAGUUGCUGGCGUCUCCCUAAGUUGGGAGAAUAAAAUGACCUACCAACAGGAGAAUACCUGAACAAGAAAAAUGUAAGGCAAUGAAGACUCUGACUUUUGUGGCAUGGAAAAAGCAACUAAUAAAUAUACAAUCACCUCGCAGUAGGCAAUUCACGUAGUACAAUGUCAAGCACUUGAAGAGCUUCUUGAGGAGCAUCCGCUUGCCUUCCAGCUAGAAACAUAGCCAGAUGGUGGAGAUCAGCACGGGCCGCAAAUUUGAUCACCACCCUAAAUACUCUCUCGCGCCUUGAACAGGAAGGAUUACAGCAGUCAGCAUGAAAUGUUGCAUAUAUGUUCUAAAUACAGACACAGCAUAAUGACAUACCUUUGUCCACCUUGGCCACCACCAAGACUAUCUUCCUCAUCUUGCAACGUAAUUUCAAAUGUCAUAGAAGUAAAUGGCAAUGGUCCAGCGGUAUAAAGGCUCUUUCUUCCAUCAUACGCAGGUAGACGCCCACCCAAAUGGGAAAUUCUAUAUAGUCUUACAAGCUCUCCCAUGACAGCACGAUUAACACCACGUGAAGUAACCUCAGGUGUUAUAGAUACCUGAUGGCAAACGAUUGGUGAACAGAAAUAACAACAUAAGAAAAAACUGACAUGAAAUUAUUCCCUACGAGGAGCUUACAUCAUAUUGGUGAAGGUCUUUGUCAGGAAGCUCAGCAAAGAAAUGAUUUGCCUUCACAAUGCACCUGUCCCCAUAAGUGCCCUUGCCAGGGCGCAAUGGGAAUCGAACCGAUUUGCUUGAUGCUGGUGCCACUUGAAUUUCUUGGCUCGUGGAAGACUGACCACGAAUGGCAAGUUGCUGAAACUGUUGCUGGACUUGUCCAGAGCUCACCUCUGCCACAGGCUGUGAGGAUGAGCCAGGUCCCGAUGGGGAUUGUGAAACCACCGGGGCUUGAUACUGGACAUAAGGGGCUUGGUGCAGCUCGGGAACUGUUCUAGAAGGACCUGGAGGAACAUUUCGUCCAACAUUACCUCCCCUAUGCCCACCAUAGUAUGGCUGUGGCAUUCCACCUCUGGAGCGGGCGCCACCACGUCCCUGGUACUCACCACCUCGUCCCUGAUAUUCACCGCCACGUCCCUGGUAUUCACGCGGGUGAUACUCAGGGGGCCCACCACCAGGGUGAUGUGACCCAGGUCCUCCGCGGCCCUGAUAAUGUCCACCACGACCCUGGUGUUGCCCGCCACCACGACCACCCUGUUGAGGCACCCAGCCACGUCCUCCCCCAGGUUGUUGAGUUCGCUCAGGCCGCUGUGAAGAACCUUGUCCAGAACCUCCUGAAGACUCUCCAGAAGUUUCUCCAGAGCCACCAGGGCCAGUUCUCUUCUUCCUCACCAUGAUGGGCACUGGCAUGAUAGGAAUACAUCAAGAGUGAGAUUGUAAAAAUACCAUGGAAAAAAUAGCCCGCUAUUUUUGCCGCUAUAGCCCGAAAUAGCUUGAAAAAAAUUAUGUCGCUAUUUGUAUUCAUGUACAAUUUUGCCACUAUUUUACCGCUAAAGUACGCUAAUUACGGUAUAUAAAACGCUAAACACCUUGGCCUUAGCUCGCUAUUUAAAACAUGGUAAAAAUAUAAUAAUUUAUCAAAACUUAACAUGAAGAAAACUGUUUAACUGCGUAUUUGUUAAAAAAUAGAGACAGAAGGUUGUAUAAUGAGAACUGAAACAGCUUAGAGAGUAAAGAAACUGUAAAUGAACUCAAAUAGAAGAUCAGCUUCAUCAAGGAAUUGCUAAAAUAAUAAAUAGAAAAUUUCUGAAUUACAGCUUGACAGCAUGAUGGAAACUAUUCCCGUGAGAAAAUAGACCAAGUACCAGAAGGCAGUGAACAAGAAAAACCAUGUAGGCAUAGAAGAAAGGGAAUGCCAUCUCACAAGUAUUAGGAAACAAGACUUAUUAUGUUUUUAUUGAAUUUAACAUUCCUUCAUUUUGAUUAUUAUUUCACCGCUUGUGGUUGGCUGCAAACUUCUAUUUAAACCAAAAGAGGCCAAGUAGAAGGUGAGGAAAAUGUGAGAAAGAACAUAUCAAAAAAGAAGCGCUCCAUCCAUACUCCAUAGGUGUCCUCUAGAUAUCAACUAUUUUAUUCGUUUAAUAACAAUAUCCUAAAAUAAAUAUACAGACAACAAGUAAACAAAAUCAACCAGUCACCCUUUCUAUAAUAGUAAAAAAGAAUUAUCCUAGCAUUUUCAUUCAAAAGGAUGCCAGAAGAAAUGUAUGAAUGAGAAACAUGUAGCACUGAAGUUGCUAAAAGAUACCCAUUUCAUCUAUACAAACAAAAUGAUCAGUAUCCUACUGCUAAAGGCCUGUCUUAUGUGGCCUUCUGAAAGCUUGUUUUAGCAGGGACCUUUUCUAGUCUCCACUGUUCAAUACAAUCCCAAUGCCUUGAGAUAACAUCAAACACUUCGGUAACCAUUGAAGGAACAUGAUUUUUUUUUCACAAUGCCGUGCUGCAUCCUUGAGUGUAGGAAACUCUAUGCUAGAACUUGUAAUCAAGUCCGAGAGCAAACGAUAAGUGAGAACAACAAACAUUAGGCAUAAAAAUAUGCCUAGAACACAUCCGCAAUCAUAGCCAAGGCUGCGGUUAGAAUCAUCACAAUGUGAUGCACUAAAAAGAACCCUCGUUUGUUAGCCAGAUACAAAGACAACAACAAAAAAAUAUAUCACCCUAAACCCAAUAACCAGAGAUGGAUACCAAGGCACAGGAGUGAAAAUACACAUAAACGGAGUGAACCUUACCCUAACGUAGAGGCAAAUAACCAUACAAGCAUGUAGCCAGUAGGGGAGGUACUGCUAUAUCAGUAAUUUCUAGAUAUAUGCUGAGGUUUUAACGAAGUAAUCAGUUCACCCGCAUAUGAGCACUGGACACCUGAAAGAACAGAUGUUCCUUUAUCUCAGAAAGCAAUUACCCCCCCCCCCCCCCCCCGGUUUCCACACUAAGCGCUUAGCUUAGAUGGACAAGCUAAAAUGAUCACAAAAACAGCCGCAAAUCGUCAAGCUCUCGUUGGAUCAGCUCACAACCAGGUAGAACCGGACAAAUAACCCGACAGACCCCACAAAAUCCACGAGCGCCCCCUCGAGCUCGUUCAUUUCAAGCACCAACACCGCCGCAACAAAGCAACCCAACCCCGGAAACGAUCGAACGCUGAAGCUACACCCCGCGCACUGAGGAAGCAGGCGAAAAGCAGCAGAUCUAGCGGAUUACGGGAGGGAGCGAUACCUGAGCAGGCUCGGCAGACGGCUGCUGCGCGGGAUGGCAACGGAGCGGGAGUGCUAAGCUCCCGCCUCCACUAAUGGCGCUCUCUACUGCCUCAGCGAAGCUGCUGUGCUGGGUGCUCCACUACUUGCCCACGACCACCACCACCACCACCACCUCCACCUCUCCGCCUUUUUUUGAGGAGGGGGAGGGGGAAGGCGACGGCCGCUUGUGGUUAAUUAGCGGCAGCGGCAGUGCGGGUGCGGCUCACUGGAGAAAGCGCCGAAGCGAGGGCAGCGGCUGCGGCAGCCGGCAGGGCUGGGUGCCCGUGUCAGGGUCACGGUCAGGUCGCGGGGCGGGUCGCGUCGCCGUGGACACGGGGACCCGUUCGGAGUGGGAUUAGUACUAGUACUGGAGAACGUGGGACGGACGCCACUGACGGCGUGGGGCCGAGGCGGCCAAGGACACCUCGGGCGCGACGCCACCGAUGGGAUUAGUGGGGCUAAUCAAGCGUUUUAGGCGCAAAAGACAGGAGAGGACGGGUGUCAGGAGUGGAUUAUCGUGCCCUCCUCGCCAUGUUAUCGCCCAGGGCCCAAAGACGUUUCGGUUGCUGAUUGGAUCGCCUCGCUCUCGUGUCCCGUCCGCAGAACUACGCGAUCAUACCGAAGCAUGAGACCGAGAGUGAAAUACUACGUAGUACCGGCCACCGAUGCACAGGCGUCAGAGCGUACGGCAUGAACCAAAGUAACAAACGAUCACGGAUCCAUCAAUGACCGUGAGUUGCCAACGGCGAACGCAGCUGUGCUUUGUAACGUGGGCACGGUGGUGGUUCGGCGGUGGCGGGUCGCUGUCAAUGCAGUCCCGUUUCGGCUAAGCCGUCCAGACCCGUAAGAGGCAAGAGGACGAGUCAAACGGGCGGGCGCCUCUCGAUGCUCGCAACAGCCAUGAGGUCAUCCGCAAUGGUUAUGCUAAGAGGAAUUCUAUUGGCUCUCAAUAGCACUUUACGAAUAGCUAGCGAGAUGAUAUAUAAAAAUAAUAAAAAAGUAGUACUCUUAUUGGCUAUCGAGAAGAGAGAUCAAAUAGCUAACGACUUCCUAAUAGCUAGCGACACAUAAAUAGCUAAUCUAGCAUAAUCUUCUAGAAAUAACUCUCUCACAAUACUCUCCACAAUAGUUAGUGACUUCCUAAUAGCUAGCGACUUCUUAAGCUAGCUAUUUCCAAAUUGCCAUUGAGAACCAAUAAUAUUCUUUCUAGAGACUAAAUAGCUAGUGAUUUGAACACCAUUGCAGACGUCCUUAGCCUGCAGUAGUAGUAGCAUUUGCUAUUGCUAUUGCUAUCGCACCCAACGUGCAACGAGCACAGCUGCACAGGCCUACUGCUGCUACUACGGCCACCCUACCGGAUCAAUGGCUGAGAUCGGUUCCGCAUACGGGGCGCACGAGCCAGUGCGUGGGCCACCGCUAGACUGUUCAAAAUCGCUGGCCCACCGGCUACCGUCCGGCCCCCAGGCGAUGACACGACGACCCCACUGGCCGCGCGGGCCCAGCGCGCAGCGAGUCGGGUGCCAGUACAGCGCGUCGCGCAAGUUGCCCGCUGGAUCGAGUAGGAGGAGUACUUGGAUAGGACGCAGUGGGCCCCGGCCGCGAUGGCGGGUCGUACUGGACGCGCGACCAGCCGUUGCUCUGCUGGGCCCGCGACCCGAUGACGGGGACGGUCAUGGAGCCCGCGGUACGGGCAAGGGGCCCUUUCGCUUUCGCGUCCAGGCUGCCCAGUGGGCUGCCUCGGGCCUCACGACCAGAAUGACACAACCGGCCGCGGGCCUUCUCCAAAGCCUGCACGGGACGGCGAGACGGAGACACAGGCACACAGACACAGCACAGCAGCGGCGCUCUAGCCUCUACUUCUACUCCUACUAGGCCUUGUUUAGUUCCCAAAAAAUUUUGCAAAAUUUUUCAGAUUUUCCGUCACAUCGAAUCUUUAGAUACAUGCAUGGAAUAUUAAAUAUAGACGAAAAUAAAAACUAAUUGCAUAGUUUGGUCGGAAUUGAUGAGAUGAAUCUUUUGAACCUAGUUAGUACAUAAUUGAACAAUAUUUAUCACAAACAAACGAAAGUGCUACAGUACCUGUUUUGUAAAAAAAUUUGGAACUAAACAAGGCCUAGGUGGCGCUCGCAGACGCAGGGUUGCAGGAAUCGACGAGCCGUAUAGUGGCGCCAGUGUUGCUAUCUAGGUACUGCGUAGGAUACAGCGAGUAUCACGUCGAUCGUACUAGGGCACAGUCCCUGGUUUUGUUGGAAGGGGACGAGACAGUUCUUCCUCGUCUCCGUGCUUCAGAGUUCACAUCAAGGGGGGAAGCGGGGCGCACAGUGAAAAGAUUUGCUGGGAUGCAAAAAAAGUAGUGUGGAUCGGUCCUAUAACUGUUAACGUGACUGCGUUUCGAUGUCACCACGAUGUUUGUUGCAAAGCGAUGAAUUCGGUGUUGACGAUGUGUCUAAGAACGACGAACAUCACUACUAGCUGUCACUGACUCACUGCAUUAGCACGUUGCCUUUGCCAUUCACGAGCAAAUAUUGGCAAGUCAUGAAAUAAGACAGUUUGGGUGUCUCUCGAAGCCACUGUUUCUAAAUAAUGAUGACUCCUCUCAUCUUUCACGGAAAGGAGAGGCUAGCCAAUGGAAACAAAGAAAAUGAAGCUUUUUGUCGGGACUUUUAAAUCUAAUAUGUCAAUGUUUUCUCACCUUUUAUACGAGAAAGAAAGGUUACGCGGUGAGAAAAGAAAAUGAAGCUUUAUUCAAAAGAAACAAGCAAGCAUCUUUCCUGCUGCCAUUGUCACAUAUAGCCUUUUCAGAGACUAGCCUCGCUGAUUUUCGUCACGACUUUAGAAUAUUUUAUUAAAGAGUUUUUUUUCAUUUUUAUUGAAUCUUUUGCCUCGUAAACUUCUAUAGUUUUCCUUGAUAAAGUAGGAAGUGCAUGCGCAACACUGGUAGGAGAAAAAAAAAUCAAACAAGGGUGCUGCUACAAUCGUGUGAAAUUGUGUUCAAUGAUAGUGAACGCCCACCCAUAUGCCACUAUGCCAGUGUGUCUCGGUGGAGUUGACGAUUCGAAAAUCGAAUCAAAUUGUCCCAUAUAUCUACAAGGUGAAAUAUUGUUUACUAAAUGGACACCAAUAGCGGACUCAAUGCUCGAAUGGACCCCGAGUAAUAAGGAUCAAGACGCCAAUGACAUUUUGUGUCUUUAACCUUCCAACAAGACGUAAAAGCAAUAAAUUUUUCAAAGUGCAUCGGCGCCAAAGCCCGGAUGAACGCCUAAGUUACCAGGCCCUAAGUCCACCACUGGUGGACAUCGAGGUUCAGUGGAGUUAGAGAAUUUUACGUGGAAAGUGUCCCUUAUGGUUCAAAAAUUAUAUGAAAUUUCCCCUUGUUUGGCGGAAGCAGCAAAGGCGUAUGCUUCAUCACCAAUUCAGGCCGGUCUUUGAUUGUCUUCUGUUGUUGCUUUGUUGGUGUGUCUCGAAGUAGAGGAACAAGCGCACUUUCGAUAACAAGGCUUCUUCGAUCGCCAUGGUGGUUAGGGAUGCUGCACUAGAGGAUGGGUUCAGGCAGGGUUCUCCUGCGUCUCGGCGUUUGCUACACUUUGGUCGCAAAAUCUGGCUGAUUUGUAAUAAACUCAAUUAUGUUCUAGUAGAUAGAUCUGUUACUUUGUUCUUGGCUCCUGCCAAUGGUCUCUCGCCACUGGCCAGGCCUCCCCUUGUACUUGUUCAAUUUUCCACUGCCUCUUAAUGAAACACAGACCGAUUGGUCUCGUUCGCGAAAAAAAAUUCCCUUGUGUAAUGGUCAAAAGGAAAUUAUAAUGAGGACGAUUAUGACUUCGUUUGGAUCUAUUCUAGCUAACUAUUAGCUCAGAAAAAGACCAUCUAACAACUUUUAGUUUGAUAAUGGAUAAGACACUAGCUAAUCUAUUAGAUAUAGAUUUAAAUGGGGUCUCAAAUACUUUUAGCAGCUAACUAUUACUAUUGGAUACAAACACCCUUUAGUUUUUUUUCAGCACCAAUCCAUCCCGAUCCAUAUGAGUUAAGAGGGAUUAAGGUAAAAUAAUCAAAUAAAUUUAACAUUGAUUUAAUUUGGAAUGGAUGAAUUGACAACAUUUUUAAGGAAGAAGAGAUGAAAUGGCCCCAAUACAAUGGCUUAUAUUACCGUGCACUUGCAAUAGUUGUUUCUCCUAUGGUGUGCUUGAUUCUUGGAUAUGGCUACUGGCUGAUACAGAAAUAAAAUUGUUGUAAUCACAACCUUGUAUUAUUUUUUAUCUCAUGCAUCAUAUCUUCACGAAUGCAACCAAACGACAUAUUUUAUUCGCCAAGCUAAUAAGAUACAAUCGACCAAAAAAGUAAACCAUUGCAUUUGUCGAGCCUGAUCCAAUGAAAACUAGCUCAACUGAUGCAAGCCAAACUAGAUCAUAUAAUCAGCUAACUAUAUAUCCUUACAGCCUGAUGGCGAACCAGUUGUAAGGCUGUCUCCAAUAGGAGACCUAUUUGGGAUCAGAAGAGACAUAACCCAAAUUUGGGUAUCCUCUCUCCUUGAGACCUAUUUGCAGAGAGUGUUGUCUUUUAGGUCUUGUUGUUGGAGAAGACUAAAAAUAGGUAUGUAACUUUUUACCUAUAGCGCUACCCAAAGGACAAAUGGGUAUUGUAUUUUGGGUAACGAUUGUUGGAGAUAGUCUAACUGUGUCACUCUCAACCAAACACAUUACUAUAAGCCGUAAGGGCCUGUAUGGUUACAGAGGGUAAAAUUUACCGCCCGUUGCACAUGUAUGAAAAACUAAAUAUAAACUAUUUACGAAACUAAAAACAUAGAUAAAAAGUAAUUUACAAGAUGAAUCUUUAAACAUAAUUAGUUCAUGAUUAAACAUUAAUUACUAAAUAAAAUAGAAAUGCUACAGCCAACCAAACACCCCCGGACGCAGUCACAACACUCGACUGGUAGAGUAUGUUGGACGUAUUUUUUUUUCUUCAAAAAAUGCGUAAUGCAAGCAGGAUAGAUCUUCAUCAGAUGCUACAAUGUCGUUUUCUUUUCUUCCUCCGUGUUGUUUUCAAUAUAAGGCCUUGUUUAGAUAUGAAAAUUUUUUGAAUUUCACUACUGUAGCACUUUCGUUUGUUUGCGAUAAAUAUUGUUCUAUCAAAGACUAACUAGGGUCAAAAGAUUCGUCUCGCGAUUUACAAUCAAACUGUAUGAUUAGUUUUUAUUUUCAUUUAUAUUUAAUGCUUCAUGCAUGUGGUAUAAAAUUCGAUGUGAUGGAAAAAUUUUGAAAACUUUUUGAUUUUGGAUGAACAAAACAAGGCCUAAAAAAAAUAAACAAGCCGUUUGCAAGAACUGAACUGUUGCUCCACUAGCGAUGAGGAUACCGUUCCGAGGCGAGAAAAGAUGUCCUUUGCUGACACGUCACACGACGGUGCAAAGCGGACCGGGCGCGCGACGUGACAGUUCGCUUGAGCCCAUGGCGAUGGUACGGCCUUGUUUAGUUCACCCGAAAUCCAAAAAGUUUUCAAGAUUCCCAAUCACAUCGAAUCUUGAGACACAUGUAUAAAGCAUUAAAUAUAGACAAAAAUAAAAACUAAUCGCACAGUUUGACUGUAAAUCACGAAAUAAAUCUUUUGAUCCUAAUUAGUAUAUGAUUGGACAAUAUUUACGGACGGCGGACCCGUGGACCCGCGGGCGGGACCCAGGGCAGUCGUCGCCGACGUGUCAGCCGGCACGGCGCAUGGGCCCCACCUCUAUCGCGUGUCAGGCCUCUCCGAGCUCGAAACGUGUCCCACAGGGGCAGGUGACCCCACCUGCACGACGGCGUACUACGGGCGCACGCACCUCUGGUGGUGGACUUGCUGUACUGCUGUGGGUGUACAGUGUAUAGUACGUACUACUGCUGUACGUACUGCACCCCCGGCCCAUAAUGCCGUGGGCCCGCCGCGUCAUCCGCGCGUGGUUUUGGUUGCUACUGUGCGGCACUGCCGCAUCGCUGGCACAGCGUGACGCACCACGCACGGAGCCGAACCGAGCCGAAUCCCCCCACCCGCGAUGCCACGCACGGCCUUGCCGCGGUUGCCGCCAUGGAUGAUGGGCCCGCCCGCCGCGGUGGCGGCCCGAAGGCCGAAAGAUCCACCAGGGUAUCCAACGGCUCUUGCAUAGCGCUAAUGGGCACGUUACUGUUCCGUGCGACGCAAGUGCCAAAUUGGCAAAUGGCUGUCUAUUUUUUUCUAUUGUCGGCAGGCUCUUGGAGGUGUCGUUCUGGUUUGGUUACUGUUUCGGCUUGUGCGUUUGUGAGUUUGUGUGCGUUUUGGAUGUUGCUGUUGUGCCUGUUGUCCUUUUGCGAAAAUAAAAAUCUACUUAUAAACUGAUGUAGUCGUUUUGUGAAUUAAAAUGCUGUAGAGACUGGCUGAGAAACCAAGACUCGUUCCAUGAAUCACCCUCGACGAUGAUGUGCUAACACAAAAAAAAAUCCAAUAGAUUAAUACUAGUUAUCAGCUAAAAAUAGUAGGCGAGGAUCAAACAGGCUACAGGCCUGCUUAUAGAUUUAUUAAAUCCGCUAAGCAAAUGGAGGUGAGGAGGUUCUGGUGGUUCAUGUAGAUCUUCAACUAAUCCAACAAUCUAUUAAACGUCCACAUGGAUUAGUAGAAUGAAUCAAGGUUUUCCUGAGACGAGAUGGGUAUGCAUAUGCAGAUAUGUUUCAUGCGGUUACGGGGCGCGGACCAGUCAGUAUGGAGCCGGGGGCAUCAUGCAUGCAUGGAGAGCGCCGACCGUGAACAGCUGUGGCAUGCAUGGGCGUCCAGGCAGCCCAGCAGUGUGAAAAAAAAAAAGACGAUCCAUCAAUGUCUUGUACAUGUGCUGUGCUAACAAUGGCAUUCGUUCCUCCGAGGUAGCUGGUGCCGAGCUCUCACAUUCAGCUCGGCUGGCUCCACAGCUGUUUACAUGCUGCUGCUCUGGCUUGUUUCUCUCGGUCAAGCUACGCUAGGCAGGUGGCUGAACAUGUCACUGCAUUAGAAUCACCGCAACGGCGCAACCCACACGUUGUAUAUCCCUUCUCAUCACUAACCGCAGGCUUUAUUAGCUUAGUUCACUGAUGAGUGAUGACGGACGACGACGACGACGACGCGACCCAAAGAACGAACGAUCCGGUCGACGAACUGUUCCUCGAGGGCCCGAGCGCAUGCAGUCGCUGUAGUCUGUAGGCAGGCAACAGUGUAAUGUGAAGCCCAGUCGGCCGGCACGGCAUGGCAUGGGCGUGCGCGACCAUGCCAACAGGAACAGCGGCCUCGACAGGUCGCCGAGACGACAACAGCAAAGGGACCGACGUGAUGCACGCACGAGCGCGAUUCCUCCAUGCCGGAUGCCGGUUGCCGGAAGCCCGCGGUCAAAAGGAGGCCCCGCCCGUGCCGACCCGGCGCUCUCUGCUAGCGCGUAGCGGCGCACAAUCAUGCACGCGAACUGUGCGGUGAUCUGACGGGACGACGACACGGCCGGCCGGGGCAUGCAGAUGCACAAGCACAGCAGAAGCAGCAGCAGCAGCAGAAGCGAGGAAAAGGCAAAAAACCGGAAGCGGGCAGGGCAAAAGGGGACGGUCGCCGAAGCGAGACGAGGAAGGAGGGCACGGACACGGGCGUACCUUGAUGGGGGCGCCCGUUGUUCUCCACCCGCAUCGCCAUGUCAAGGUCACACAUCGUCCUCGUCCACGACGCCGCGCGCCAAAGCUGGAACUGAAAGCAGGAGGCCGGGCACGAGCCGGCAGCCGGAUCGCGGCCACUUCUGUGUCCGUCCCCUCGUCUGUCUGCCGACCGAUCGAGAGGUGGAAGAAGAGCUAGGUCCUCGUCUGACUGCUGCUGCCUGGGGCUGGGGGCGUGGAUCACGAGCCAAGAGAUGCCGGGCGCCGGGGUCUUAUUGUUAUUGGUGGCUGGCAGGCUGGGCGAAGCUAGCGAUGGCUGGCUGGCGCUGCUAGGGGGAGGGGGAGGAGGAGGAGGUCCGUGGUGGGUGGGGCUCCCUCGGGCUCGUCUGCACUACUGCAUCCCUGGCCUCGUCGUCGUAAGCAAAAGAUAUCGGUGAUGUAAGCUUCAAGAUAUGCCCAAUUAUUGCCGCUGGCGCACGGAGAAAAAAUAUUGCGCCGGUGCAGGUGGUAUGCGACUUCCAUUUUUGCGAGUUGCGGCUACUGCUCGCUCGUUGGUAAUGGACUAAUGGUGUGGAUGAGCCAUUAGCCAUUAGCUGAUCGAUGUGCGAGCUUUAGCUUCCGUUAGGUUUAGGUGGAGGGCCCCCCGCGUUCCCUGCAGCAAAUGCGGCUGCCACUAUAUACAUCGAUCAUAUUCGCCAUUAAAAAUACCACAACAUGGUUGGUCAAGAGGAAUCCUUUGCUAAAUAAGGUGGUCCGCUGAUCCUAGUUACCAACUAUGGUGCGUCGAAAUGACCCAACAUAUGGUACACAUUUGUUUAGCAAGAUUUGCGCUUUGUAGUGUAGUCCCCCAGGCUCUCAGAUAGCGAAAUAAACAAGACAGCACUAACAAAAGUUUAUAUAAUUUCCGUCUAGUCACCUGAUCAGAUCAUUGGUUGGCCAAGUUGAGAUCUAGUCAGACAUUUGAGUAAUCCGACGCGCAUCGGCAGUAGUUAUCUGAAGUGAUGUGUAUGCAGUCGUUGGGCUAAGGCCUUGUUUAGUUCACCCCAAAAAGCAAAAAGUUUUCAAGAUUCCCCGUCACAUCGAAUCUUGUGGCACAUGCAUGAAGCAUUAAAUAUAGACGAAAUCAAAAACUAAUUACACAGUUUAGCUGGAAAUCGCGAGACGAAUCUUUUGAUUCUAGUUAGUCCAUAAUUGGAUAAUAUUUGUCACAAACAAACGAAAGUGCUACAGUACCGAAAUCCAAAAUCUUUUCGGAACUAAACAAGGCCUAAAAUAAAUUUGUGCCGCACGAAGAGUUGCAGCUGAUGACCUGUUGGAAAGGGACUGAUAUGGUUUCAUAUGGUCUGGAAGCUCAUCCGCUUUGUCGCCACACCAUCGAUUGCUCGGUAUUGCCUGGCAUUCCAAUGAAGAACAUUGUAUAUAUGGCUGGCCUGGUGGUUGAGUUCUUUUUUUCUUAUUGAAAGACAGCUUACUUGGCACCUCCUUAAAAGACAAGGUUGUGUGUGCAUCACCUCCUUAGCAAUUUCAGGAAGAUAUAUAGUUUUUAAAUAAAAGUCGUUGUUGCCUUUUUUUUGUGAAUCACAAUAUUUCCAGGUAUUUAUUUAUUGGCUCAUUUGUCCGAAUAGGAUAUGCGAGGGAAUAUACCCACCGUUGUGAAAACUUUGUUUUUGUAGUAAAAUGACAAUAUCUCGAGGGGUUUAGGUCUGAUUGUCCCCCACAAUAAAAGUUUGAGAAAAUACGAAAUAGUAGAAAGGGACACACACACAAAAAGAUACGAGGCCUCAAAAGCCCACGACGAGAACCUGAACUUCCGAAUGGGCUGCGAUCCAAGAACAGAUACGUGUCUAAGAAAUGGGCUCAUCUAACCAUAUCUACAGCCCAGUAGUUUUGCAAGCUCUGUACCUUCUGUUCUGCAUGUCCAUGACCAUGUCUACAGCAGCGUCCUUCGCAGGUUGCUGUUGUUCUUUUUUUUUUUCAGAAAUCAGAACACAAAACAAUAGGGAGUUGCCGACAAAGAUUGAGCCUAAGUAUCUGUUCAACAAGAUCUGACUGAGCGUUGCUGAGUUUGCUCAGAGUUUGCUGCUUGCCACAUGUCAACACAAUAACACCAGCGGUACUAGUAACAGGAAUUGGAGGGAAGAAGCUAAAGUAUAGCAGAAGACGGGAUAAUUUGGAGAGCGGUGGAAGGAUUUUUGGAAUUAUUGUAUACUUAUUUAUCUUUUCUUUUUUUUCUCGAAUACGCAAGAGGAUUGCGUAUCAUUAUAUUAGAAGGGAAAGGAAAUUCGAACAAUACAAAACGAGUUCACCUGCCGUAGCAGGAAAUGAAAUAAAAACACUGCAGACUGUAACCAUCCUCGGUGGAUAGCGAUGCUACCCCCCGAGCCAAGAACUCCUAAAUUUCUUGCGCCCGCGCUCAUCCAUUGUUCGGCGUCUGCUUUGAUCACAGCCAGUAGCUCGAGUACGGUGAGUGUGGUCCCCCGAAAGCAACGCGCGUUCCGCUGCUUCCAUAUAUGCCAAGAGACGAGGGCGAACAGCGAGUCUGCGCCCUUCCUCGCCGGUCCAUGCCACAGGGCCCGGAUGCGCCUCCACCACGCGAUGACUGUCUGCUGCGCCGGUGGCAAUUGUUUGUCCAGACCGGACAGGAUGAGGAACCAUACCUCUCUAGUGAAAGGGCAGUUCGUCAGUAUGUGAUCGAUGGACUCAUUCGCCUGGUCACACAGGAAACACUCAGACUAUGCUUGCAGCCCGUGUCUCGCCCGACGAUCAUUGGUCCAGUGUCGCUUCUUGAAGGCCAGCCAAAGAAAGAUCUUUACCCGUAGCGGCGCCCAGGAGUUCCAGAUUAGCUUGUGGCCCCGAAAAAUGGUUCCACCAGCUUGAAGUUUGCAGUAGGCUGAUUUUGCCGUGUACUCCCCAUCGACUGUCCAUCGCCAGAUGGUUGUGUCCGGGCUAUCGGUAAGGAUGAUGUUCUCAGUGGCCGCCCAAAGAUCUAGGUACUCGCCAGCCUCAACAAUAGAGAGCCCGCCACAGAUCGAUCUUAUCCAAGCCCGUCCCGAUAGUCCUUGGCGCACCGUCAAGGUAGAUUUGAUUCUUCUGGGCACCUUUGUGGAAAGGUUGGGUGCGAUGUCACUGAUACCUUCUCCUUGGAUCCAUCGAUCCUCCCAGAACAAGGAAGAGUUGCCGUCACCGAGGAGCGUGAACGUGGAGGCCUUGAAGAAAGCCAAUACCUCUGGGUCGGCUUUGAUAGGUAGCUCACUCCAUGCUCUGGUGUUAUCCGUCUUUUGUAGCCACAACCACCUGGUUUGAAGGGCGUAGCCGACCAACUUCAAGUUUGAAAUGCCGAGCCCACCUAGUUCCGUUGGCCGACAGCAAGUUUCCCAGGCCACCAUGCAUCGGCCGCGCACCGAGGCAUCUUUGCCAACCCAAAGAAACUUCCUGCAGAUCGCAUCGAUCUCUUUGCGCACCCACGGAGGUAAACUGUCAGCCAUCGUCGAGUAGAUGGGGAUCGCCCUUAGGACGGACUUGAUCCAGAUCAGGCGACCGCUCCUUGCCAUGAGAGAUCCGUGGCAGGGCGGGAGCUUCCUUGCAACCGCUUCGAUCAACGCCUGAUGUUCUGCCUUUGGCACCUUCUUGGUGGUCAGGGGCAAACCAAGGUACCGUAGUGGGAACUGCUGCACCUGGCAGCCUAGGAUGCGCACGAUGUCGUUCAAGACCUCUUCACCGCCAUAGAUCGGGGUUACUGAGCACUUGGACAGAUUGGUUUGGAGUCCAGUCGCAGCUCCAAAGAUGGAAAGAAUUUCCUUUACUGCAAGGGCUUCUUGUAUGGUUGGUCUGAUGAAGAUGAUUGCAUCAUCGGCGUAGAUACUGCACUGAAAUUUGAUCCCAAGCGGCUCAAUAGGUCUCAGCACGCCAUCUGCACUUGCCUUUGCCAUCAGCCGGUGAAGGAUGUCCAUGGCCAGUAUGAAUAGCAUAGGUGAAAGGGAAUCCCCUUGGCGCACGCCCCGUAGGUGCCUGAUCGCUGGUCCUGGUGUUCCGUUAAGCAUUAUCUGGGAGGAUGCGGUGGCGAACAGCCCCUCAAUCCACUGGCACCAUCUCGGUCCGAACCCCCGCGCCCGAAGCAGCUCGAACAAAAAGGGCCAAGAGAGCGUGUCAAAGGCUUUGGAGAUGUCGAUCUUGAGAAGCAGCAUCGGCGUCUUCUUUUUGCGCAGCAUGACCGCGGCCCGUUGAACAUAUUUGAAAUUGUCGUGUAUGGUCCGCGAUCUGAUGAAUGCGUUUUGGUUUUUCUCCACCAGCGCGUCUAGCUUCGGCGCCAACCUGACCGCGAGGAUUUUUGAGAUUAGCUUGGCGAAGCUGUGGAUCAUGGAGAUUGGCCGAAAAUCGGAUGGCGCUGUUGCUCCGACCCGCUUGGGAAGAAGGAUGAUGAGGGCGUUGUUCAAUUUGCUCAUGCCGCGCCGAUCUCCUGCAGUGAACGCACUGACGGCGGCCAUCACGUCCUCCUGGAUUAUAUUCCAGGCGCUCUUGUAGAACGCCCCUGUGAAACCGUCCGGUCCUGGUGCUCGGUCCGCGGGCAACUGCUUGAUUGCGUGCCAAACUUCUUCCGCGGUGAUGUCCAGUUCAAGGUCCUCUAGCGGUACUGGGUGAAUCCCAAGUGCCGUAAAGUUCAGCGUGGUUCUAGUUGAUGGCGCUGCACCGAAGACUGAGCUGAAGUGAUCGAACAGCGCGCGUUCCAUGUCAUCGUGGUCCGCAGCGACAUGUUCAUCGAUGGUAAGAGAUGGGAUGUAGUUCCGGCGUUUCCUGCCCCUGGCGAUGAGGUGAAAGUACGCAGUGUUCGCGUCUCCCUCAGAGAGGUGGCGGAUACGCGAACGCUGUCUGGCGAUCGUCCGAUCGAGUGAGGAGAGGCCGAGGCAUCUGAGUUUCAUCCUCUUGCGCAGCUCCUGCUCUGUUUCGCUCAGCUGUCGCACUUCCUGCGCCGAGUCGAGGCAGUAGACGAGCUCUCGUGCCAUGAGGAGUUGCUCCUUCACCCCUCCGAUCCUCUUCGCUGACCAGCUUUGCAGGGCGCGGGUUAGAAUCCGAAGUCGAUCAUCAAGCCGUGCGAGUGGUCCCUGGUGACUGUCCGAUCCAUUCCAGGCGUCGUUUACAACAUGCUGAAAUUCCUCGAACCGUGGCCAGAACACCUCGAAGUGAAACCUGGCCUUGGACAUGCCUCCCAUGUUGGUGCACAGCAACAAAGGACAGUGGUCUGAGGCGUCCGAACCAAGAGAUCGUAGGUGGGCGUUGGUGAAUAUCUCGUCCCACUGUGUCCAGACAAGUACCCGAUCGAGUCGUUCCAGCGUGGGGUUCUGGCGCUCGUUACUCCAGGUGAAGCUGCGGCCAUGCAGGUGGACAUCGUGUAGCUCUAAGGCUCCCACUGUGUUCCUUGUCUUCGAUCCCUUCUCUCUAAACUCGCCCAGCUAUUUAACAGCUAAGGCACCUCAGUUCAUGGGUCUUGCCCUGUCCAUGUAUACAUCACACUACUAAGCCAUUCGUUCUGCCAUUGGGAACCCAAGAACAUUUGUUGGGCCUCCUCUUCAGUCCUCGCCCCAUCCCGUGCAUCUAGACUUGCCUCCACAUGUUCAGGUUCAGGACUGCUGACAUUGCCUCUUCUUGAGAUGCAGCUUGAUCCCAAGCAUGUGCAAAAGAGAAUUGUUGUUGCACAACCGUCGAAUCUUCCUAAGUUGCUUGACUCUCAGACCACCCCGACCGCCACUCGAUCCAUACUUGAUGAAAUGGAGACAAGAUGUGUGCCCAACGUUUCUGUAGGACAUGUUUAGGAACGCGUAAGAGUUCAAACCUUAUGGCAUCUUAUUGCUGCCAAGCAAAACAAGCGCUAAGGCUCUUGUAGCAGGUAGCUAUGAUCGAUUUGGUUCGACACCGUUGGAUCCCUUUUGCUUUACAUAUACACCCUGUACUGCAAUUCUGCAGACGAUCGCUUCAUCUCAUCAACCAUUGCGUGUAGGAAGCAAUACGCAUUCAGCUAGCUGCUAUAUAUAGAAACCUCUCCUGUCAGCUGCUCUUCCUCUGGUCCGAGAGGUAACCGCACAGAUCAGGAAAACUAGAGGUAGUGUUCACCCACCAAUCCGUGAUUGUCACAUCUGGAUACACAGCUGCUAGCUUUUUCACUAGGACGAACAGACUGAAUGCCAAUAGUAGCACUUCAUGUGCAUGCCACCGAUAUAUAUAUGUACCGAUGCUCACAAAACGUUGCGUGAGCGUGUAAUUAGGAUUCGGUAGAUAGACAAUUAAGCAUGUCACAAUCUGGUGUGUAUUCGGUGAACUUUGCGUCAAACAGCACACUCAACCAGCAUGUCACGAUCGGCCCCGUUUCGUUACCAAUUUUCGUUCGGUUUAAAGCAAAUAUAUGCACCGUUCCUUCAAAUAUAUGCAGUACAUUCGGUGCGGUAUUGCCACAAAUUAUUCAACCCGAUCGAGCUACAUGCUACUGAUGUGCUCGAUCAACGCAAACGCCGCAUUGCGCGUGCACAAUAUAGCUAUAGCACACUAGUAAUACUGUAUGUUGUCACGGUACACAUGAGGCCUAGCAGCCCAAGCAAGAAGAGUACAAGACACAAGAAGCUGAACCCGAAGUUUGUUGGCCCAACUUGGAGCAAGUAAUUAACCUGAAGCUCAGUCCAGCUGCGUCUGGAGAGCGUGCUGUGCUUAACAGCUGUGUAAUGAAUUCAGUUUAAGAAGAAGGAGAGAGAGCAAACUAGGGGAAAGUAAAAUAUUUUUUUUUCGAAAGACGGCAUAAAGAUUUUGCCGUAUUUUUAUUAGUCGAGGAAAAAAAAUGCAACAUAAUUACAACUCCCACUUAAAAACUCUCAACCACUGGAGGGAAAGUAAAAUAUGCCCUUUGCUAGAAUAUUGUUACAUAUGUGUUGGUGUGUGUGUGGUACAAACUCUUCAUAUCUAUACUUGUAUGGCGCGGCCUGACCCGCGUGCGCGGCUGCAUGCACUUGUGCGCGGCUGCUUGGCGAAGACCGAAGAGCGUGUUGCUGAGCAGCUGGUUGGAGGUGACGAAGCCCACCAGGAGCGUGCCCUGGAUCACCGUGUCAGGAUCUCCGACGCGCAAGGGUGCGUGUGCGGCGGGUUCUGCCCGCCGGCCGGGGACGAAGUCGAUGCGCGCCAGCGAGAUGCCCAGCGUGUUCAGCCCCGGGAUCUGGCCAUCUGGGCCACCGCCACCGGCGUCACGGCGGAGCCCUGCGCGCGCGUUUGGUGCCAUCGGCACUAUGUGGAAGAAGAUGUCGCGGUUGCGUUCACCACGUUCGGGUUCUUUUGCACACCACUCCGUUCACCGGCACUGCAUGCAUAUGCAUGCACACGUCCACCCGUGUCAGUACUUUUGUCGUCAUCGCAAAUCAUCAUACACAAUUAAUCACCUUUGAGUAGUAUACAUUGCAUGCAUGCCUUCAAUACAUGCAUAAAUAUAGAUAACUGAGCUCUCUCUGUAGACUGUAUAGUGCUGCAAAAGUUCAUGCUUUGUGUUGCAUGCACAUAUAUGUACCUGCCUACAAAUGUACUGUGUUUAUUUACCAGGGCUAUUGUUAUCAGCAACGCAGAAGUCCUGGAGCUGGGUUGGAUCACAGUUACCAGACCACGGGGACUGAAGUAAAACCCACAACCGCUAGCACUGCAAGCAGUGUAGUAGGAGAAAGGCACAGGAAGCCACGGCGCUGUUUCUUUGCUAGUGAUCAAGUGUGCUCGAUCAAGCUGCUUGAUUAGUUUGUGGUCUGCAACACUUGCCAGUGCACCAAUUUAAAGGUAGUGUUCACCCAACAGUCUGUGAUUCUCGCAUCUAGAUCAACACAUGAAAACAGAGAAUCACUUGCGUAACGGCGAGCAGUCAAACCAAACAGGCAUGCAACCACUAGUCAGAUACUCAGAUCAUAUAUGUGCCCACACGAUGUAUAUAAUAUUUUAUACAAGUUUGAAUAUAUAUCUUGAGAUGCAAAAUCUAUACCUAUACCUAUUAAUCUAUAUCUAUAUCUAUCUAUAUAUAUAUAUAUAUAUAUAUAUAUAUACCUAAUACUAAAGAGGCAAAAUUUCAGCCUCAAAUUUGGUCAGGAAAUUUUUUCGUCUAAUCCAAGUCCCAGUCCGUCUCAUACUUUUGUACCAGAUUUCAGAUCGAGUCCAAAACAAAAUCACAUACAAAUCAGUACCAUAUACCAGAUUCCAGGUAGAGCCAAAACGAAACCACAAACAAAUCAUGUAUCAUAUAUCCGACGGCAAUAGCUCCGCGAGCCUAGAAAAUCUGCUGACUGGAGCUAGAACGCGCACCUAGAGCCGAAAAAAAUAGCUUCACCCGGCUCGUCUUUGGUUUGGUCCGCUUCGGUAUCGCACUGAUUCGGAGAUGGGAUGUGGCGGCACGGGGAGGAAGAGAAGUGAGGGCGCGCUGAUUUGGGGAGGAGAAGGGCGAGAUAUAUCCGACGGCAAUAGCUCCGCGAGCCUAGAAAAUCUGCUGACUGGAGCUAGAACGCGCACCUGGAGCGGAAAAAAACAGCUUCACCUGGCUCGUCUUUGGUUUGGUCCGGAAUAACAAAACAUCUGGUACAGAUACACCGGAAUACACCUGUAACAAAACAUCUCAUUCCAAAUGAAAAUCCAAAAUGAAAUUGAUAAAUAUAAGUAUGCUCGAGACGGAGCUGAUAGGAAGUUCAAAGCGAAAGGAUAGUUAAGGUUCGGAAAUAGAAAAAUAAAUUUGGUGACUCUUGGAACAUAUUGUUGGGAGUUGAGUACAAUAAUUUUUAUUUCGUACUUCCACUCCUGCUAACUCAAUUUUUUAAUUGAUGGUUAAAAUACAAACCAACACAUAAUAACAGUCGAUUUAGUUAGACGCUCGCUUUUACCUUGACAUGAAGCACAAAUAAAUAGUGACUCUUUUUGGGUUGUUAUAUGAUCCAAUAAAAUUCAUUCUUUAUAUAGUGUUUGUGCACAACUUAUUUCAUGUUUGAGUUCGCAUCGCCUAAUCUUACUUUUGCAAAUACUUAACAUGUUUAACAAGACAAUGAUAAUUAUUUUCAAAAAAAAAUAUUUAUAUUAUAGAACAAAAUAGAUGAAGACAAAGACAAAUUAUGUUAAAUAAUGUCUUCCUGCCUCCGAAUUUAAAAGUUACAAAGUAUAUGUAACUAUGAAUAUAUAUGGUCUCCUUCACAUAUUUUAUUUGAUUGUCUACAUAUGAAUAUUGUGAACAUAGAUUGUAUAUGCAAAUAGAAAUCAUUAAGCAAUAAUGACGAGUAAUUUUAAAAAAGUCUCAAACCAUGUUUAAUUGUCAAUUCCUUAAUUAAAAAAAUGUUCAGUUGUUUAUUAGACUUGGACAUAUUAGUGUUUAUUCUCCCGUUGCAACACACGGGCAUGUUUUCCUAGUAUAUAUUAAACGAGGAUGUGGUUGGGAAGACAAGAAAUGAUGUUGAACCGUCGUUAGAUUUUGACAUAAAGAAAUGCACUUUUACAUGGAGGUCGUAUUCAUAGAACCACAUACUGGAUGAACUUAGGGUCCCUAUUCAAACCGACUAGGAUAUUGCUUUAUCCCUACGUCGAGUUUUCUUGCGCACAACUUUGUAGAUGGAUCAAGCUACGAAUCAUCUUGUAAUGGGCUAAAACUACCGACCCAAGUCUAGCCAUAAGGGUAUAGGAAUUUAUACUCCCACAACUAGUCCCCGAGCACCAUGUAUUAUGAAGCGACACACCGUCUUGAACUUCUUCGACCAGUGAUAAGGACAAUCUUUUUUCAUAAUUACCGAAAAAGUAGGUUGUCCAAAUAAUGCAUGGUGCUCUUAAGAAAGAAGAUUUCUUUUCUCGUGAAGUGUGCCGACUUUACUUUUAUGAAAAGUAUAAGCUUCUAAAAAGCAAGCAUAUUCACCGUAAGGUGAAGUGUGACCACUUAGUCCCCGAGCCUGGUGGUUGGCACAGUCCCCGAGCACAACGUAGAGACUAGUCGAUAAAUCUCCGAGUGUGGUUGGGAACAUAAACGUACUCGGUGGUCGGCAUAGUCUUCGAGCACAGCGUAGAGACUAGUUAACAAAUUCCCGAGCGUGGUUGGGAAUGUAAGCAUGCUCGGUGGUCGGAGCAAUCCCCGAACACAGCGUAGGGAAUGGUCGACGAGUCCCCAAGCGUAGCUUGUUAACUAGGCCAAACUCCUAAAAAAUAAAUAUAGAAAAUAUGUAAUACAUGAUGUAUAAAUAAACUCUAGAUAAAAAACAACACCCAGUUUUAGAUUUUUUGUUUUAUUAAAAUUAGCACGAAUAGUUAAUUUAUCCUAGAGCUUGUACCAGCUCUGGUCUAGCCAACAAUCUAGAGCAUGAGAUGCGGAAAGACACACAUAGGAUUGCCAGCCUCACUAGAGAGCUACUGCCGACCACCCGAAACGUAGAGGGCGGAUCUCGUGCAUGUGUGGGGAGGAGUCGGAGACAGUGCCGGCUCUAAAAAACUCGUGUAGAAGAAAAAACUAAUCGGCUAACCAAAAAGUUAUUUUGAAAGAUAAUAAUAUCAAAAAUAUUAUGCUAAAAAUAAAUAAAAAUAUUAGAAGUGCACUUUUCUUUGGACGAAAGUCUGUUCGGUGGCGACAAAAUUGUUUGAUCCUCAAGUUUUAUGAUGUGUUGUCAUGAAGGUGGUCGCGAGCGCUGUUCUUUGUAGCCAUCAUUAUUGCGACAUGACAGGUGGUCAGAGUAGGCCAAGAAACUUGGUCGAAAGCCCGAGCAGAUCGGUGUUGUCGAUCUGUCUCCUUUUGUAGCCGGGAAGCGGCGAUGUGUUGUCGACGUGGUCGGAGACGUUGCUGAAGUGGUCGAAGCCGUAGCCAGCGUGGUUAGAGCCGCAACCGACGUCGAUGAAGAAGUGAUCGGCGCAGAUUAGAUCUGCACCUCCUCCAUGGUCGUGGCGGUGAAGUCGUUGAAGCCGGUGGUCUAGGUAAUCUGGCCGAUGGUGAACGUGAGACCGCUCGUCACGGCCGUGGAGUCGGAGAUAAUGACCAUCUGCUUCGCCUGGGAAGCUGUACGCACACUCCCUACCUGGCGUGCCACUAUCGACGAAAGCUGGUUGGCAGUCUACCUUAGGGUAUACCCACAGUAGUAGUUUAUCGGCAGACAGGUGCGCAAACUACGAACUUGAUGGUGACGUAAGACACAAACAAGGAGUUUAUCUUGGUUCGGCCGCCGUAAAGGCGUAAUACCCCCUCCUUACAUAGUCUUGGGGACAAGGUUACAAAUGUAGAAAUUAAUCCUAACCGGUUACAAUUCAACCCAAGUCUAGUCAUAAGGAUAUAUGGAUUUAUAUCCUCACAUAUAUCUUUACCGGCCAUGGAUGAAAGUCAUCCGAUAGAUUUAUCACUUAUUAUUCCGUUUGAGUCUAUUCCACCCAAACUUGAAUAAUAAAGUCUUAUGAUUUAGUUUUUAACACAUCCGCAUUUUGAAAAUAGUGCAAAAAGGUUUUAUCCCUAUGAAACUAUAUUUAUUUUCAUAAAAUUUUUAUUAUUUCUCUCUUUAUUUAUAUGAUGCCAUGUCAACAUAUUUAAUAUUUAUAAAACUUCAAUGAAACUUUAUUAGGACUGAUAUAAAACUCUAAUGAAACUCGUCUGGGACACGUUCGAACUUUGAUAAUGGAUGCUUUAAGUACAUACCUUCUCAUCGUUUCUUUAUAUGUUUAUAAGUACGUACCUUCUCGUCCCCUUUUUUAUAUGUCAUUCUCGAAAAUUACUAAAUACUCUCUGAUAUUUUGAACUUUAAGAUAUCAUGUUUGACCGCUCGUCUUACUCAAAAUUUUUGUACAAAUUAUAAAAUAAAUAAAUUAUUAUUAAAAUAUCUCUAAUAAUCAAAUAAAUCAUAUAAAAUAAAUAAUAUUAUACAAAAAGUUAUAAUAAAAUAGAUGGUCAAAUAAAAUGUCUGAAAAUCAACGACAGCGUUUUUUAAAUGGAGGAAAGUAUAUAUUAAACAUAUUAAUAUUUAUAAUGCAUAAUCAGUAUCAUUCGUUAGACCUUUAAAUUUAUUUUUAUAAUAAAUUUAUUUAGAGAUAUAAAUAUUACUAUUAUUUUAUAUUAAUCUAGCUAAAGUAAAAAAAAAAGCUCGAACAGACACUCAGCGACACUCAAUAAGAGACAAGGGAGUAUAUGCUCCGUACAUCUCAUUCAAAGGACGACUAAGCAUGUGCAAAUAAGUCAAAAUAAGCCAAUGCACUGUAGUUGCGCACGCAUGCACUAAUGCCCAGUUCGCAAAAAUUUUCAAGAUUUUCCGUCACAUUGAAUCUUUGGUCGCAUGCAUGGAGCAUUAAAUAUAGAUGAAAAUAAAAACUAAUUGCACAGUUUAUCUGUAAUUUGUGAGAUGAAUCUUUUGAGUCUAGUUACUCCAUAAUUAGACAAUGUUUGUCAAAAAAACGAAAGUGCUACAGUAGCCAAAAACCCAAUUUUUUGCCACCUAAACAAGGCCACAUCUACAAUACCACUUGAAGCAACAGCUCUUGCUUUGGUAGAAGCGAACUCCUUUUUUUCCUUCUUCUAGCUAGAAAGAGACUUAUUUAUCAUCUGUUUCUCUGGUCCGAGCAAAUCGCACAUGCAUAUCAGAUAAAAAAAAUAUUGUCGCACAUAUCGGGAAUUAGUUACUGAUACGGAACAAUCAUCUGACACAUAUCUUCUCGUAGCAGUAGGACUUUCGUGCGCCUGUGACAAACGAAGCUGACAAAUUAACGUUCUGCGUGUGCGACUGUGUGUGAGAUGUGGACAUGUGGUAGUAUAGACUAUAGAGUACAGCUAAGGCUGUCACGAUUUGGUUUCUGUUCGGGCGUGCAAGGGCUACCGGCGGCUUCGACCGCCGCGACGUGCUCCUCGGCCUCGGCGGGGCGCGCGGCAGCGGCCGGCUUCCUCGAUCAAUAACGCUCUGCUAAAUUUGCUACAUUUAAUUUUGAUUUAAUUUUCCGGCCUCCUCGAUCAAUAACGCUCUGCUAAAUCUGCUACAUUUUGAGUUAUUUUUCUCAAUAAAUUUAGCUAGCUGUGUUCUAACAUGUAAGCCGUGGCUUCUUAUGGCUGCCGAGCAAAACAAGCGCUAAAGCUCUUGUAGCAGGUAGCUACGAUCAUUUUGGUUCGACAGCGUCCGAUCCCUUUUGCUUUACAUAUGUCUUUCACGCUAAAAACCAAAUUUUUUUCAAGAUUCUCUGUCACAUCGAAUCUUACGACAUAUGCAUAAAGUAUUAAAUAUAGAUGAAAACAAAAACUAAUUGCACAGUUUGUCUGUAAAUCGCAAUACAAAUCUUUUAAGACUAGUUACUUCAUGAUUGGAUAAUGUUUGUCAAAUAAAACCAAAAUACUAUAGUGUUACAAUUAAAAAUCUUUUUAGAUCUAAAUAUGGCGAUAUAUACUGCAGAUGAUCUCUCCAUCUCAACCAUGCAUUUGCGUGUAGUAGGAAGCAACAAAAAGCUAGCUGCUAUAAAUAGGCCAUGUUUGGUUAAAUGGAAGUCUAGUCUCUAUCUUAUUGAAUGUUUGAAUAUAUGUAUGAAGUAUGCUAUUUAUACGAAACUAAAAACAUAAAUUGAGACUAAUUUACAAGAUGAUUUUUUAAGACUAAUUAGUUCAUAAUUAAUGAUAGAUCCAUGAUUGCUACAAUAAAAAAGUGCUAAUGAUAAAUUAAUUAGACAUACUAAUUUCGUCUUAUAGAUUACUGACAGAAUUUGUAAUUUAUUUUCAUUAGUAUUUGAACACACCAUGAACCACAUCCGAGUCCUUACAUCCAAACACCCUAUAGAAACCUGACUCAUCUGUUCUCCGGUUAUAGGAGCUAAUCGCACUUACAGUCCAUGACUCAGCUCGCCUGUUGAUCGAUGUUUACAGCUGCUGCUUUUUCGUCGCGAAUGAUUGAACUGUUACCGAAUAUGGGAAAAAAUUAGGUAGAAACUCUGCACCAUGUCUCUGUAUAGACCCACUUUGGAUGGAAGAUACGUGUCCCAAAACUCCAAUCACACGGAGACACGAUAUAGGAGGUCUACAUCCAAGAUGCGUCUCUAUGGAGGAAUCCUGGUCUCUCCGUUGUGUGUGUGUGUGUGGUUGUGGUCAGUUUCGUGCCCGUGUGACAAACGAAGAUGACAACACUCUGCGUGUAAAUAUGGUACAGAGAGUAUAGAUAGCUAAAACCCACAUCGAAUAUUUAGAAACAUACAUGAAGUAUUAAAUAUAAAUUAUUUAUGAAACUAAAAAUACAGCUAGAGAAUAAUUUACAAGACGAUUUUUAAAUCUAAAUAGUCUAUAAUUAAACAAUAAUUACUAUAAUUACAAAUAUACUAAAGUGUGUGUAUAUAUAUAUAUAUAUAUAUAUAUAUAUAUAUAUAUAUAUAUAUAUAUAUAUAUAUAUAUAUAUAUAUAUAUAUAUAUAUAUAUAUAAAAUUUUAGUUCCUUCAACCAAACAUCCGCAUGUCACGAUUUGGUGUGUUCAGUGAAUUUGUCAAAUACGGUCCAUACUUAGGCCUUGUUUUUACUUCCCAAAAAUUUUAUGAAGUUUUUUAAAAUUAUUUCCCAUCAUAUCGAAUCUUAUGACACAUGUAUGAAAUAUUAAAUAUAGAUAAAAAAUAACUAAUUGCACAGUUUCCCUGUAAUUUACGAGACGAAUCUUUUGAACAUAGUUAGUCUAUGAUUGGACAAUAUUUGUCAAAUAUAAACAAAAUGCUACAGUGUUCAUUUUAUAAAAAUUUUGGUAACUAAACAAAGCCUUAGCUAUCUAUACAUAGGGAUAGAUCGCAGUGAGAAUGAACCGAUGAAAACCGGCUGACCUAAACUCUGAUCUCCAAGGCUGGAGGGUAAGUUCUCCACUAGUAGUUGUGUUAUAGUAGUGUUCCUCAUUCUAUUUGACCCAAAUUAAAUCGGCGGUUUAACCGAUUGGACCAAUCAAAUCCGGUUCGGUCCUAGUAACUUGGGUACAGAUAGCUACGCGGGUCUGGAGUCUAUACCAGCAGCAUGUUACGACGAUCGUCCCCCGGCCCUGCCCGUUUCGUUGCCAAGCAAGUUUGGUCGUUUUUUUUUUUUGGAACAAGUUUGGUCGGUUUAAAACAAGUGCCGUGCAUCGCAAAAUACAGCAACACUUUCUCUUGGUCUACGAGGAACUAUAUAGACGUAGCACGAGUAGUUGGCAAUGAACCAAACCUCGACACGGCACAUGCAGCAGUAGCACGUGACAAACAACCAAAUCAAACAUCCAGUCCACUAGCUAGCCGAUCAUAGUUUUUUUUUUUACGGAACCUAGCCGAUCAUAGUUCUAUAUAUACUCCUAUAUAUAGCCACUCGCUAAACCAUGGCACGCCAUCGGUCGCAGCUCACAAGCAGCGCCAUGGGGAGCGCCACCAUGCCACGAAGUUUCGCCGCGCCACGCGCGCCAUGCCGCAGCCUCCAUACGCUCAGGUGCAGGUGCAAGGCUACCGGCGGCGCCGACCGCCGCGACGUGCUCCUCGGCCUCGGCGGGGCGGCGGCGGCCGGCCUCCUCAGCUCGUCGUUGUCGAACCGCGGCGGUGCGCUCGCGGCGCCCAUCCCGGCGCCGAACCUCAGCAACUGCCAUCCACCUGACCUCCCCGACACGGUGAGCGACAUCAACUGCUGCCCGCCGGGCGCGGGGACGGCGAUCGUCGACUUCACGCCGCCGCCGACGGUCGGGCGCCGCGUGCGCCCGGCCGCGCACCUGGUGGACGAGGAGUACGUUGCCAAGUACGAGAAGGCCGUGGCGCUGAUGAAGGAACUGCCGGACGACGACCCGCGCAGCUUCACGCAGCAGUGGCGCGUGCACUGCGCCUACUGCGACGGCGCGUUCGACCAGGUCGGGUUCCCGGACCUGGAGAUCCAGAUACACAACUGCUGGCUCUUCUUCCCGUGGCACAGGUGACGACGACGGUUCCAUGCAUGCUGGCGUCAUGUGAUCUUAGCUUGCUCGUGUAUAUGCUUUAGCGAUUGAUAAUAAUUAAUUAACGUGCAACUUUUGUGAACGUCGUUGCACUGCUUAGUUAGUUUCACAAAUUGGACAACGCGUGCAGGUUGUACCUGUACUUCCACGAAAGGAUUCUUGGGAAGCUCAUCGGCGACGACAAGUUUGCGCUGCCGUUCUGGAACUGGGACGCGCCCGGCGGCAUGUCGCUGCCGGCGAUCUACGCCAACAAGUCCUCCCCGCUGUACGACGAAAGGCGUGACCCUGCUCACCAGCCGCCAUUCACGGUGGACCUCGACUACGACAGGAUCGAGCAAAACAUCCCAAGAGCUCAGCAGAUCGAUCAGAACCUGAUGAUCAUGUACCGUCAGGUCAGUGUUAGUAUAGCUAGCUAGCUGGCUGUGUCUUGUUGUACGAAAUAUUACACCCUCGAUCAGGUGUCAGGUUUGCUAGUGCGACACUGCACUAACAGUGAACACUCAGUUCUUGGACGUAACUGAACACUUGAUCUUAAAACUUUAAAAUUGAACACUUGAUGUCUGAUUAGCAUAUGGAUGAUACACAUGCAUGUCUCUACUCUACGUCAGAUGAUCUCCGGUGCCAAGAAGAAGGAACUCUUCUUUGGGCUGCCUUACCACCAGGGCGACCAGCCAGACCCAGGCGCAGGCACCGUAGAGAGCGUCCCGCACGGCCCAGUACACUUCUGGAGCGGCGACCCGAGCCAGCCGAACAACGAGGACAUGGGCAACUUCUACUCCGCCGCGCGCGAUCCACUCUUCUUCGCGCACCACGGCAACAUCGACCGCCUGUGGUCGGUCUGGAACGGCCUCCGCGCCGGCAACACCAACUUCACCGACCCCGACUGGCUGAACGCCAGCUUCCUCUUCUACGACGAGGAGGCCCGCCUCGUGCGCGUCCGCGUCCGCGACUGCCUGGACACCGCUGCCCUGGGCUACAGCUACCAGGAUGUUGCCCUGCCGUGGCUGAACGCCAGGCCGACCACGGAGACCGGUUCUCCGGUUCCCGCCGCGGGCGCGCUCCCGGCGACCCUGAACCAGACCGUGAGGGUGGCCGUGACGCGGCCCAGGACCUCGAGGACCCGCCAGGAGAAGGACGCGGAGGAGGAGGUGCUGGUCGUCGAGGGGAUCGAGGUCGCCGACCACUUCAGCAGGUUCGUCAAGUUCGACGUGUUCGUGAACGAGUGCCAGGGCGGGGGCGGCAUGGGGGCGGCGGUGGCGCAGUGCGCGGGGAGCGUGGCGAUGACGCCGCACCUGGUUCGGCCCGGGAAGGGUAGGGGCUCCGUGAAGACCGCGGCGAGGUUCGGCAUCUGCGACCUGCUCGACAACAUCGGCGCUGACGGGGACAAGACGAUCGUCGUGUCGCUCGUGCCGAGGUGCGCCGGAGACAUGGUUACUGUCGGUGGCGUCCGGAUCGAGUAUGUUAAGUGAGGUCCUUCUAUUACGUCCUACCCUCCUACGAGUACAUCUCACAAGUGCUAGGGCCUAGAGACAACUGCUCUACGACCAGGAGUAUAUAUCAGGUAUACAUGAAUAACUGUGUGAUGCUGUACGUGUAUGGACGACUCCUGUUGAACUAUAUAUGUAGGGAACUAUUUGGGAUUGUGUUUGCGUGCCGCCGUGAUUAUAUAAUAUGGGCCAAUGUCAAUGCGACAUCAAUAAUUAACAAAUAAGGGCAUUAGUGUCUGUAAUGUGUAACAGCAUGACCAUAGAGAACAGUGACUACCGUGUCGCCGGAGAAAAACUUGUAAUGCGAUCGGAGAAAGGGUGGACACCAAUGGCAGUAUGUGGGGUGUAAAGCGCCACUCAGAUUGCUCAGAAGAUGGCAGAACCGCAUGUCAAACCAGUGACCGAUGUAAUGGUGUAGAUAAAUCACGACAUACGGAACUCAUCCAUUAACCAAAUCAAGGAAAAGCUGUACACAAAUUACGACAUACAAUACUAUCCAUUAAUCAACUCAAGGAGAUGCUCUAGAGAAAUUACGACAUAUGAAAUUCAUCCAUUCUCCAAUAUACCCAUUCGAAAGUGGCCCACACGAUGUAUGUGUGUGUGCGCGCGCGCGUGAUUCCCGUGUACUCAUCCGGGGUGUUCAGUACUAUUCACCACCAAGGCCUCGGAAUAGUGUGUGUAUAUGAGAGAGAGAGAGAGAGAGAGAUGCAACAUGCAUAUUUAUUUUUUAGACAAAGAAAUUACAUGCAUGUUUAUUAAGUUGUUGUAGAAAUUAGUAAACGAAGAUGUGGUUUGAAAGGCAAGAAAUGAUGUUGAAUGGUCGUUAGAUUUUGACAUAAAGAGUAUUCACUCUAUUACAUGCAGGUCAUCUUUAUAGAGCCACACACACUGGAUGAUAAGCUUAGGGUCCUGUUGCAAAAGUAGAAUACUGAAUAAUUAAGAUGCUGUGGAAACGACAGUCAUGGAUAUCUUUACCGGCCAUGCAUGGAUGAAAGUCAUCCGAUAGAGAUUUAUCACUUACUAUUCCGUUUGAGCCUAUUCCACCCAAACUUUAAUAAUAAAUGAUUUUGGAGGAUACGUUCGAACUUUGAUAAUGUAUGGCUUAUUAAGUAAUUCCCCGUCCAUUUUUAUACAUCGUUCUCACUCCUCAAACGUGUACCUAACUUUUACUAAAUAUAUAUUAAAAUAUUAAUAUUUAUAAUACAUAAUUAGUACCACUAGAUAGAUCUUUAAUUUAUUUUUACAAAAAAUUUAUUUAAAAAUACAAAUAUUUGCUAAUAUUUUAUAUUAAUCUAGUUAAGAUUAAAAAAAGUUUAACUAACACUCAUCUCAUAUAUAGCGACACAGACUAAGGGAUAGAGGGAAUAUUCCGUAUACAUCCUAUUCAAAGGACGACAUAAGCCUGUUUAAAUAAGUCAAAAUAAACCAAUGUGUUUUUUUAAAGGAAAAUAUAGUUGCACGCACCAACUUCAACUUGUGUGAGCACAUCUACAGUACCUCUUGCAGCAACAGCUCUUGUUUUUUUUUUUUUUGAAGGAAACAGCUCUUGCUUUAGUAGAAGCGAAUUCCCUUUUUCCCUUCUUCGAUCUGAAAAGAGACUUAUCAUCUGUUCUCUGGUCCAGGCAAAUCGCACAUAUCAGAAAAAGUGGUUUUUGCCACUUACCAAGUCCGAUCGAUGUUUACAGUAGGACUUUCGUGUGCUGCUGCUAGUACGUAGGUUCUCCUUUUUUCGUCGGAAAUAAUUAGUUACUCAUACGGAAUAAUGUGAACCGUCAUCUGCUCAUCACCAUCGUGGUUAUAGCAGUAGGACUUUCGUGCGCGUGUGACAAAAACGAAGCUGACAAACGUUCUGCGUGUGUGUCAGAUCGAUGUGGUAUAUAGCUAAGGCUAUCAGGAUAUAUUUGGUGUGUGGUACGAGUUCGAUCGGGCGCAUAUAGCUUGUCUAUACCAGCAGCAUGGUACACGAUCAUCGGCCCCCAGCCCGUUUCGUUAAUUACAGCGCAAGUUUUGUUCGGUUUAAAGUAUGCAUGUGCCGUGCGUGCAUCGCAAAAUUACAGUCACACACGACAAAGCAUAUGUAUAGACGUAUAGCACGUACUCCACCUGGCAACGAACCAAUCCUCGACACUUACGACACAUGUACGUAGAGUAGCACGUAACAAAACAAGCUAGUAGACCACAUGGUACGGCACAUCCAGCCCUAGCUAGUCGAUCAAUCACAUGUCCACACGUUCUGUAUAUUGCUUCUCGCGCUAAACUAUGGCAUUGGGCAAAAAAAACUUUUACCGAAUAAGACUCUGCCGAGACCCUUUUACCGAGUGUAAAUAUAUAUGGCUUUACCGAAACACUUGGCAAAGCAACUGGCUGCCGUAACAGGCCGGCCGAUCACAUGUCAUGCAACUCACAGGUUCACACUUCGUUCACAGCAGGUUCAUCACUGAGCAGCAGCUAGCGCCAUGGAGAGCAUCAUGUACUCAUGCCACGAGGUUUCGCCGCUCGUCGCGCGCCAUGCAUACCAUACUGUACGUACGUAGCCUCCAGACGCUCAGGAUGCAACGCUCUACCGGCGGUGCCCGACCGCCGCGACGUGCUCCUCGGCCUCGGUGUGGAGCGGCAGCUAGCGGCCGGCCUCCUCGAUCAAUAACGUCUUGCUAAAUUUGCUACAUUUUGAGUUUUCUCGUCAAUAAAUUUGGCUAGCUGUUCUAACCUUUAAGCCGUGGCAUCUUAUGACUGCCAAGCAAAACAAGCGCUAAAGCUCUUGUAGCAGGUAGCUACAAUCGUUUUGGUUCGACAGCCUCCAAUCCCUUUUGCUACUUAUAUAUGUACACCCUGCACUGCAAAUGCAUAUAUGAUCUCUUCAUCUCAACCAUUAAGAUAGGAACCUCUCAUCUGUACAUUCUUCUUCUUCCUCCGGUACGAGCUAACCGCACGUACAGAUCAGGAAAAUUAAAGGUAGGGUUCACCCAUCUGUCCGUGAUUCUCGCAUCUAGAUAGUUUAUCUGCGCUCACAAAUUGUUGCGUGUGUGUAAUUAGAUUCGGUUGAUAGAUAAGCAUGUCACGAUCUCGUGUACUUGUAUUCCGGUGAACUUUGCGUCAAACUGCAGCACCCAGGCCCAUAUAUACGUACUACUCAACCAGCAUGUCACGACCGGCUCCCUUUCGUUACCAAGUUUCCUUCGGUUUAAAAGCAUACAUAUAUAUGCACCGUUCUUUCAUUACUUUCUCCAGCUCCUGGAGGAGAAGACACGACCCAUAGCAUCACUUGCGUAUAACAAACUGUCAAACAACCAAACAGGCACGCAUCAGCAGUGAGAUACUCAGGUCAUAUGUACCCAUGAUGCCGUCUCGCAAAAAAAAUGUACCGAUGAUGUCAUAAUACUACAUCUAGAUAUAUAUACUCCCUCUACUCUAACUUGUAAGUAUUUUUCUAGCUUUUUUAAAUAUAUAAUUUUUGUUAUGCGGACGAGCCAAUAGCUCGGUUGGUAAAGCAUCCCCAUUGUGCAAUGAUGUAGGUCAGGAGUUCGACUCCCCACCUCCAUAUACGCAGGUUUGCUAGUUGUAAAUAAAAUUUUUCGUUUGUCCCAUGUCAAAGCACAGGUCUAAGGUUAGCCCUAGUCUUACGUGUGUUGCGGUACCGCUACGUAUGGGUAGGGCAGAGGUUCAAGUUUUUCUUGACCUAUAUGAAAAAAGUCUUCUUCUUAAUCACAAUGUCUGACCUACACACAAAGAUCCUAAGCACAGUGCCCCCGGUGUUGACACUCAAAAGUGUCCCAACAUGAAAUAUGGGCAUAACCAACACGUUUCUGACAUCCCAGAGGUGUUGGAAAUAGUUGGUGAAGUAAUCAAACAAAAAAGGAAGAAAGUGGCGUCUGCCUUGGCAGAGCCGACUUGGCUGACUUUGCAUAGUCGAUAAAACUAGUUCUUCAUGCCCCAAUUCGCUUAGCCGACUCCUAAGUCGGCUAAGCCGACUUUCCUCUAUGUCGGCCAAGCCACAAUGCUCAAACCUCGUGAAAAUCGGCUCAGCCGACUCCCAAGUCGGCUAAAGCCGGCUUUCAUUGGUAUUCCGAGUCAGUUUGGUUUCCGAAACAGUUUUGGACCCAUUUUAAACAGGGAAUUUGGAGAAUGUGUUUUGGAAUUGUUUCCUAGUAAGAUAAAACCACGCCGUCUCUAUAUACGAAAGGAUCAUGGUCGAUUAAGGAUCCCAACUUACAAUCAUCAAAAUACAUCUAUUACAGGCCUUUUACCCUCUUUUCUCCCUAUUCGUCAGUUCGUCACGUCUCCUAGCGAGAUUUAAUGGCGUUCGAGGCACCCUUGCUAGUCUUAGGAAACCCUCCGUGUGCUCCUCCUCGACGGAUCUUCCCAAGAGAUGCUCAAAAUUCUAACAGGUGAAAAACAGGCUCGACAUUGGCCUAACCGAUCUCUAGAUUGGUGUCUCGGUUCGCUGCAUUCUUGCUGUGAUCAAGGUCAUGUGUUUACCGUAGAUAUGCUAACCGUAGCUGGUGUGCGAUCCGAAACACUAUCCAACAUCAUUGCACCAACACCCAGGGGCCGUCGUAAUCCCUGCAGGUCGAGCUUUUUUUUGAGGGGGAGGGGGAGAGGGGAUGGACUUAGAUAUAUAUAUAUAUAUAUAUAUAUAUAUAUAUAUAUAUAUAUAUAUAUAUAUAUAUAUAUAUAUAUAUAUAUAUAUAUAUAUAUAUAUAUAAGUUAAAACAAGUUAUAAUUAGAAGGAAGGGAUAUAAAAAACUAUUCAAUCAUCUGUUCUGGUCGUCAGAGCUAAUCGCACUUACCAGUCCAUGACUCGCCUGUCAAACGACGAUGUUUAUAGCUGCUGCUUUUUUCGUCGGGAUUAAUGAACUGAUAGCGAAUGUGAACUGUGUGAUCUCCAUCCUACGGGGGUUAGCAGUAGCACUUACGUGCGCGUGUGACAAACGAAGCUGACAGCAUUCUGCGUGUGAGAUGUGGUACAGAUAGAGAGUAUAUAACUCUAAGCAUGUCACGAUUUAGUGUGUUCGGUGAAUUUUGCGUCAAAUUAAACGACCCAUACUUAGCUAUCAACAUUCUGCGUGUGAGAUGUGAUACAUAGAGUUAGAUAGCUACAGUACGUAAUUUUCUCUUGGUCUACGAGGAACUAUAUAUAUAGACGUACGUAGCACGCAUAGUUUUUUGAAACGAUUUUUUGUUUUUUUGAAACACGAGUAGCACGCAUAGUUGGCAACGAACCAAACAUCGACACGACACAUGUAGCAGUAGCACGUAAUAAACAGCCAAAUGAAACAUCAGUCUAGUAGCCGAUCAUAGCUCACACGUUCUAUAUAUAGCCACUCGAUCGGUAAACCAUGGCACGGCACCGAUCGCAGCUCACAAAGUUCACACACUUCACAGCACGCUCACCACUGAGCAGCACCUAGCGCCAUGUUGAGCGCCACCAUGCCACGAGGUUUCGCCGCGCUUCGCGCGCCGCCAUGCUGCAGCCUCCAGACGACGCUGAGGUGCAAGGCUACCGGCGGCGCCGACCGCCGUGACGUGCUCCUCGGCCUCGGCGGCGCGGCAGCGGCCGGCCUCCUCACGUCGUCGUCCAGCCGCGGCGGUGCGAUCGCGGCGCCGAUCCAGGCGCCGGACCUCCGGGACUGCCACCCGCCCGACCUCCCCGACACGGUGGGCGACGUCAACUGCUGCCCGCCGGGCGCGGGGACGGCGAUCGUCGACUUCACGCUGCCGCCGGCGGUCGGGCUCCGCGUUCGCCCGGCCGCGCACCUGGUGGACGAGGAGUACCUGGCCAAGUACGAGAAGGCCGUGGCGCUGAUGAAGGAACUGCCGGACGACGACCCGCGCAGCUUCGCGCAGCAGUGGCGCGUGCACUGCGCCAACUGCGACGGCGCGUUCGACCAGGUCGGGUUCCCGGACCUGGAGAUCCAGAUACACAACUGCUGGCUCUUCUUCCCGUGGCACAGGUGACGACGACGGAUCCAUGCAUGCUGGCGUACGUGUAGGGUGUCACAUGUGAACUAAGGCUCGUGUAUGCUUUAGCGAUUAAUAAUUAAUUAACGUGCAACUUUUGUUCUGAAGUUCAACGUCUAUUGCACUGCUUAAUUAGUUCUCUUUCACAAAUUGGACAACGCGUGCAGGUUCUACCUGUACUUCCACGAAAGGAUUCUUGGGAAGCUCAUCGGCGACGACAAGUUUGCACUGCCGUUCUGGAACUGGGACGCGCCCGGCGGCAUGUCGAUGCCGGCGAUCUACGCCAACAAGACCUCCCCGCUGUACGACGAAAGGCGUGACCCUGCUCACCAGCCGCCAUUCACGCUGGACCUCGACUACGACGGGACCGAGCCAACCAUACCAAGACAUCAGCAGAUCGAUCAGAACCUAAUGAUUAUGUACCGUCAGGUCAGUGUUAGUAUAGUCUUGUUGUACGCAAUAUUACAACCUCAGUUCUUGGAAGACCGCACUAACAUUGAACACUCAGUUCUUCGACGUAAUUGAACACUUCAUCACUGAUUAGCAUACGGAUGGAUACACAUGUAUGUCUCUUAUAUACGCCAGA
rnacentral:lncRNA from 1 species